rnacentral:lncRNA from 1 species
CACAAACCCAAAACCUUUCGACCUACCACUGUCCCUGUCGUAGAUGACUCUAGCCUCAACAACCUUCCCUUGCUCCCCGAACAAACUCUCGAGCGCCAUGUCAUCGACUCCCCACGAGAGAUUGCCGACAUAAACACGGUUCCCUGAACCAGCACCACCACCUCCACCAUAUCCUCCACCGGAGCUUCCAAAGCUGCUUCUAGGUCCUCUUGAGAAGGAGUCUUCCCUCUUCGGUGGAGGAGGACCCGCGUUAACUCUCAACGGUCUACCAUCCAACUCCUGCAAACAAAACCCAAUAAGAACAACAAAACAACACAAAGGUUCCAACUUUUUGUCUUUAGCAACCACAAGUUUUUGUCUUUAGCAACACAAAGGUUCCGACAUAAGUAUGUUCUUACAUAGCCAUUGAACUGCUGUUCAGCUGUCUGAACCUCAGAGGCUGAAGACAUAGUCACAAACCCAAAACCUCUGCUUCUCCCUGUCACCUUGUCAUAGAUUACCUAAACAAAGACAACAAAACGAACAAUCACUAAAACCAAUCUCAAACAACAACAACAACAAAAAAGAUUCAAUCUUUAUCUCAUUUCUCGAAAACCCACAACUCAAUUUUGAGUUUUUGACCCGUUACCUCAACCAUCUCGACGUUUCCGGCGCUCUCGAAGAGCUGAGCGAGCUGAGCGCUGUCGACGUUAAAGGGGAGGUUACCGACGAAGAGCUUGAGGUCAGAAGAGAAGGAUUGCUCCCGCCGCGGGGGAGGAGGAGCGUCGUCGUCAGCGAAGAUGCCGUCUUCUUCGACUGAGAAGUCGUCAGUAACCGCGACGUUACGGACGAAGCGAGAGGAAGCGGCGGAGAUGGAGAGGGAGAGGGAGGCGGAGAGGGAGUGGAGAUUGAAGGAGAGGGAAGGAGGUGAGAGGGAAGCGGAGGCGGGUCUGGAGAUGGAGAAAGGAAGGGACUUGGGGGUGAAGGUGGAGAGAGCGAGAGAGGAAGCUGAAGCAGCCAUGGUGAAGAGAUGAGAAGAGAUAAGGUUUGUUUUUAGCUUUAGGGGUUUUUUGAGAGUGGAGAUAAGAUGGUGUGUUUCUGAUAUUUAUGGGCCAAAUGGGAAUAAAUAUCUUUGCACAAAAUAUCUCAUUCUGAUUUUUAUUUACAAAAUUUGCCUCAAAACUUUAUUUUAUUGCUAAAUAUUCUGCUGCUAAUAAAAUUUGUCAAAUUUUGAUGAAUUUAUCUUAACGUCAUCUCUAAAAAAAGUAUGUAUUUAAAAAAAAUAUAGGUUUUCAUAAAUUUGUACACAAUUUUUUUAGAAAAUCUUAAUUUUCAAAAUAUUUUGUAUUUUCUCACUUUAGUGGUGUUAUCUUUAGUGAGAUGACAGAUGAGAUGAGAUCUAAGCCGUAGAGUUUUGGAUGGACAGUGGAGAUGGCACGUCUCAUGCCAAGGCCCCAAAAAUAUAAAAAAUCUAUAAGAUAGGAUAUUUUAACUAAAAGCCAAUGGAAUUAACAACUCUCGUUCCAGCACAGAUCUUUAACUCCAAUAAAUUCAGAAAACAAUACAGUUCCUUUAAAGAAAACCACUGAAUCAUACAAAGGUUGCUCCAUUCAAAACAAGUUAAUAAGAAACUAUUUAUUUGGAUAACAAUAGAAGACUGAAGUUCUUGAACUGCAAAACGCUUUUAGGAUCUCUUCAAUUGGAGGGUCAUCUCCAGCUUCUUUGUCCUGAAACGUUCCAACAAACAAGUUGUUGAGUACGAGAUUGUGAUUAAUUUACCCCUUUGAUUACAUUGACAUGGUGUAAACACAAGUAUUUGAUCAAAACGUGUUACCUGGUCCAUACUCCCCGGUCCGAUCAAAACAUGAGAAACACCAGAUGCAUCCAUCACAUGCUAAGAAAACCUCAAAUGUAUCACUUAAUGAAAUGAUCAAAACCACAUCAAGAUUUUGACAUUGUUGUUUUUACUCCGGGAAAGCCGAAAGAAAUAAGAAAAAUCCUAACUUUAAGUUUUAGUUAGAAAAAAAAAUCAAAUUAAAAAAAUCUCGUGGAGUGGAGUUAUUACACGUUGCAUAGAUGACGUAAGCAUUGUCCGAAACAGAAAAAGUCAAACGCCACGUAAGCUCAGUAAGGGUAAAAAGUUUUGGAAAGGUAGAUCCUUUUCUAAAAGCGAAUGUUCCUUCUUUGCACGUUCAAGCGAUCUCAAGCCGCUCCUCUCUCUCUCUCUCUAUCAUCUCUGAAAUGGCGAGAGUACUGCGUGUGGCGAGAUCCUCCUCCUCCCUCUUCAGCUUCGGAAGCAGAUCUUAUUCAGCCGAAGCUAGCCACGUGUCCUCUCCCCCUCCUCCGUUUCUUGGAGCUCGCAGAGACGUUACCAAGGAGAGAAACGUGCAGUGGGUGUUCCUCGGUUGUCCCGGUGUCGGGAAGGGGACUUACGCCAGCAGACUCUCGAGUCUCCUCGGUGUUCCUCACAUCGCCACCGGAGAUCUCGUCCGUGAUGCGCUAGCUUCUUCCGGACCUCUCUCCCGACAGGUUCUUGUUUCACUUUAUGUCCAAAUGAAUCCCAAAACGACGUCGUUUUCUGUUUAAAUCUGCUAAAAGUUCAUGUGUCUACCAACAGAUCUAAUGAACUAGUGUUUGUUUUGUCCUAACGGAUCUGAUCCUUUUUCUAAUAAUAGUCAACGGCUCUCUCCUCUUGCUUGUAUUGAGAUUCUUAUUACUUGAUUGCAGCUAUCAGAGAUUGUAAACCAGGGGAAGCUUGUUUCUGAUGAGAUCAUAGUGAACUUAUUAUCAAAGAGACUUGAAGCUGGUGAAGCCAAGGGCGAAUCAGGUUUCAUUCUUGAUGGCUUUCCUCGUACCAUGAGACAAGCUGUAAGUUAAUUCAUUGACUUCACAUCAUAUUGAGCAAAGUUUUGAAUGAUUAAUCUUUGUGUUUUCAGGAAAUAUUAGGAGAUGUCACUGACAUCGAUCUAGUGGUGAACUUAAAGCUACCUGAGGAGGUUUUGGUUGACAAAUGCUUAGGGAGGAGAACGUGUAAUCAAUGCGGUAAAGGUUUCAAUAUAGCUCACAUCAACUUAAAGGGUGAGAAUGGGAAACCAGGAAUCAGCAUGGAUCCACUUCUCCCUCCACCUCAGUGUAUGUCAAAGCUCAUCACUCGUGCUGAUGAUACUGAGGAGGUUGUGAAAGCUAGGCUCCGUAUUUACAAUGAAACCGUAAGUCCUCUUUCUCUCUCUCUAUUGUUCUUCCCAUUUUAGCGAUGCUUGAUGCUUUGAAUGAUGUGUGCAGAGCCAGCCUCUUGAAGAGUACUACCGUAUCAAGGGAAAGCUGAUGGAGUUUGACUUACCUGGAGGCAUCCCUGAGUCUUGGCCAAGGCUGUUAGAAGCUUUAAGGCUUGAUGAUUACGAGGAGAAGCAAUCUGCCGCGGCGUAGUUCAACUACAACUCCGGUUUAUAAUUCUUUGCAUGUGGAAGACAUGUGCCUAUAUCAGUUUUGUGUUGGAAAAUAAAGAAAACCUUAGAUUGUUUUUUUUUAUUGCCUCAGAUCAGAAUAAUCAUCAUCAUACACACUUUGCAAACUAUAUGAUGUAUCAUGAUUGUUUAUGAGUUUGCUAGUUACAGGAAUGUAUAAACACUUUGGUACACUUUUGAUUAUUUAUUGUUGAAUGUGAUCAAUGAUUGUUUAUGAGUUUGCUAGUUACAUUACAUGAAUGUAUCAAUACUUACACUGCUUGUUACACAUCAGGUUUGAUGUUUGGGCUCUUGUGAUUAGUUUGUUUAUUGUUGAAUGUGUGUGAUAAUAUUGCGGCUGGCCGAGCUGGCUGGUUAAAGAACACAACCAGACAGUAAAGUAAAACAGUCGCAUACAUUAAAGAUUUUGUGGAACGUAUAACCAGCUCCUGUCUGUCCUAGAAUUGGCGGUUCGGGAUAGAACUGUUCCUUACAUACUGGAACUUCCAGUAGAAUUUGAUGCUAAUUGUUGGUCCUAAACUAGUGUGUAUCAGUUGCUAUGUGAUCUCAUAACUGGACCUUAUCUUAUGGUUUGUGCUUGAGGUUUCUGAGAAAUCGCUGGGUUCAUUUGAUUCUUCUGGUUUGACAAUUAGUUUCUUGUUAUGGACACGGUGAAAUCAGACUCAAAUCGGUGGAAUAAGACAGCCUCAAAGAAGGCAGACAUAAUCAUGUUUGCUCUUGAUUCAUCUUCAAUCUCAACAGGACAUUAAAAUCAAUUUGUAGCUUUAUUUUGUUAGUAUAUAGAUUUGAUGAAAUAAACAACCUUUAAAUUAUAAAUAUAAAGAUGAAAAUAUUCUUAAACAUGAAACCGUUUUGAUCAAGAUUCAAAAAAAACUUCAUUAAAAGAUAGGGACAUCUUCUGAAACAUAUCCAAAAAGCUCUAAUGAAAAACAGCAAGAUAAGGUCUUUGAGAUGUAAUGCAAACUCAAGGCCUAGGAAGAUCCUCCUUAACGGUUGGCCUUCGCAACUCUCUCAAUCUCAUCCUUCUUCUUGAUGGCAUAGCUGCAAAAAAACAAGACAAGAUGCUAUUAGUAUUUAGCAACAAACAAACACAAUUUGUGAACCCGCUUUAAGAGACAAGACAAUGUAAAGAUGUUUACCUGUUGGAAGAUCCCUUGGCAGCAUUGAUGAGCUCAUCAGCAAGGCACUCAGCGAUUGUCUUGAUGUUUCUAAACGCAGCUUCACGUGCACCAGUGGUGAGCAAGAAGAUGGCUUGGUUCACACGUCUUAGAGGAGAGAUAUCAACAGCCUGCCUCCUAACCACACCAGCAGAUCCAAUCCUCGUCGCAUCCUCACGUGGACCACUAGCUCACCAAUAAAACACACACAACAUUAGAAAAAAAGGUUUCUAGUAACACGCAAUAAAGAAUGCAACAUUGUUGUCUUACCUGUUGACAAUGGCAUCAAUGAUAACCUGAAUAGGGUUCAAGUCAGUCAAGAGAUGGAUGAUCUCCAUGGCGUGCUUGAUGAUCCUCACAGCCAUCAGCUUCUUUCCGUUGUUCCUUCCGUGCAUCAUGAGAGAGUUCGUGAGCCUCUCAACGAUUGGGCACUGAGCCUUCCUGAACCUCUUCACAGAGUAUCUUCCAGCAGUGUGGGGGACAAAGGUCGCGUGCUUAGCAGGCUGAACACCAAUGUAGUCAACAAGACUAAUGUCUGUGACCUACCCAUUCACAAAAAAAAAAAACACAAGAUCAACAAAACAAAUACUAAGAACAUAGCCAUUGUUGCCAAUUUAAAUUUUAGAGAUCUAAUAUUCAAAAACAAACCAAACAACACAGAAAGUGUUGGACUUUAAGACAAAGAAACAUCAGGAUCAACCAAGUGUACUGAGACAAUAAAACAUGAAUUGAAAAUUAACAAAAAUAAAAACAAAAAGAGGACAUUUUUUCCGACAUAACUCCAUGAGUUAUAUCUAAUUCAGACAAUGUAACUAUUUUUUUGUAAUAGACCAAUCAUUUCAUUGUAGAAUUAGAUCCUAUAAAGAUUGCAAAUGAGCUAUCGUAAACUUACCGAAACGUCAUCAAAGCUCCAGCGAUUGAAGAGCUUGACCUCGUUGGUAAGCUGCUGCUGAAUCUCAGCGUCAAUCUCAACGGCGGCGGCCAUGGCUGGAAACACCAAACAAAAGCUUAGCCACAAGCACACACGCAAACCAGAGAAUCGAAGAUGAAGAAGAAAUCAAUACCUCAAACUCGUAAGCGUCGUGNNNNNNNNNNNNNNNNNNNNNNNNNNNNNNNNNNNNNNNNNNNNNNNNNNNNNNGCGUCGUGUGGAGAUGAGACGGGACUAGGUUUAGCUGCAGCUACUGCUUGAAGAAGGUGGUGAGAAGAAACAAAAACCCUAAUUUUACUAGAGUAUAGGGUUUUUAAAAUGGAUUUUAUUGGGCCCAAUGGGCUUUUCGUAAGGCCCAGUCCAAGUCGUUAUACCAUAAGUCUUUAGAGCAUACUAGAAAGAGAGCAUUCAAUGCGGGAUGUCGACUUGCUAGCUCUCGUCCAUGCACCGUCCGUCGCCAUCAAUCCGUGAGUUUUUAUCGGUUUUUGUUCAAUGACUCCAACGAACUUUGAAAGAUUUGCCCACUCUUCCUUGCAAAUUAAUCACGAGAUCAUCGCCUUGUACUUGUUACUCCAUUUUGUCGUAUUAUCAUAUUUACUUGUUACUCCAUAUUGUCGUAUUAUCAUAUUUUUAUAAGAUAUUCACUAACAGUAACAGAUAAGUCAUUCUUAUCCUAAAGUCAUUUUAAUUCAGAGACGACAAAAUUUAGGAAAAAUAAAUUCUAGAUGAUUUAUCGAAAAAUAUUUGUGUGUAAUGUUAUAGUCAGUUAACUUAAUUCGUUUGCAAUUUCUAGGAAUAAAAAUAUGACAGUCUAAUUCGUUAAAUUAGUAUACUUUCCCAAAAAGACAAAUAAUACAAGCUGAUCUUGAAGAAUCAAUAAAUUAAUGUGAAAAUGAUAGACAAUGAACGUGAAGAUUGCUUGAGAUAUGAUAAGAUACUUUCAAUGCUCCCGACAAGAAAAGCAUUAAUUUGGACUCGUUGAUGCAUGGGGUAGAUAAGAGUGGACAGGGGAGCUUGCAGAGAUUGGAAACAAGUAUGGGGGAUCGAGUUUCAAGAGCAUCUCCUCAAGAAAUGAACAUGAGGAUGAGAACAUUUCUCGUCGACACACAAACUGCUAAGAUAAACUAUUGUGGUAAGAUAGAAUAUAUGUACCACAUCAAUGUCCUAGCUAAGAAUAGAUACCACAGCAAUGUUCUAGCAAAGCAAUAUUGUCGAAAGUUUGUUCAUCUAUAAUUUUCUUUUCCUUUUAAUUAAUUAAGAUGGGUGCAAUUUUUGCCUAGCAACACUAGAAUAUAGAAUAUGGACCACUUAUGUAAUUUAAGCAUGCAUAAUGGCACACUAUAAGUACUAGCUUUUAAAUAAAUAAAGUGAUCCUUCAAUUAAUUAGGUAUUUCAUAUUCUCAAAGUAAGUUAGGUAAUAAUACUUUAAUUUCCACACUUUCUUGACCCAAUAAAACUCCCCAAUAUAUUAUUUGUAGUCUACUUUUUUUUAUUAAAUUUGUAGAUAUUGUUAGAGGAAUAUAGUAUGUUUUCUUUUGAAUUAUUAUCUCUUUUUAUUUAUUUUUAUUUCAAAUAAUAAGUUUGUUUAUUUUUAAGAAGAAUAUCCUACCUCUAGUCAAUUCAAAUUGUUUGUUUCCGACCAUAUUCCAAUCAUGGUAAAUUACCCAAAAAGAACACAAAAUAAUGACGUUGAGACACUCUCAAAAGUUAGCACGUAACAAUUGUAGUAGUGAAAAGACGUCUAAGCAUAUUAAAUAUAUUUACACUUUGAAGACAAAUGCAUAUCUCAUUAUUGACUAUUCAUCAGAUAAGAAGCCAAGAGAGUACUCACUGAGACAUGAGUGGUGAUGAUUUGAGAAUGGAGCUUGCAGAGAUUGGAAAAAGCAUGGGGUCGAGUUUCAGGAGCAGCUCCUCAAGAAACGAGGAUGAGGCAGAGCAUGCUCUGCAGUGGGCUGAGAUCCAAAGAUUACCUAGUUUCAAACAACUGAGAUCAUCUCUGGUCGAUGAAGAAGGGGAUGAUGUGGAGAAAGGGAAAAGGGUCGUUGAUGUCACCAAGCUUGGAGCCAUGGAACGUCGUCUGAUGAUUGAGAAGCUGAUCAAACACAUUGAGAAUGACAAUCUCAAGCUGCUCAAGAAAAUUAGAAGAAGAAUAGACAGGUAUAUGUGAAAACAAAGAAACAAACCUUGUGAAUCUUGAACUGAGUUGUUACUUUGCAGGGUUGGUGUGGAGCUUCCAAGCAUAGAGGUGAGGUAUAAGCAUCUAAGUGUUGAAGCAGAAUGUGAGGUCGUUGAAGGGAAGGCGCUUCCAACUUUAUGGAAUUCUUUGAAGCACAUUUUCUUAGUGAGUAUACUUGAGAAUAUAAUGCAUUUUGCCAGUAGGUAGUAAAUUGUUGUGAACAAACGCGAAUUAACUUCAAAGAAAACAAAAAAAACUUGAAAAGAACAAAGCACGAUUGAGGCAAAUAUCAUUUUAAAAUUUGUAUAUUGAUUAUGUGAAUAAUUAAAUCUACAACAACUUAGACAGUUGUUAACAUAACUAGUAUUGAACUAUACUUUUUUCUUCUUUAGGAGUUGGUAAAGCUGAGUGGUGUAAGAACACAUGAAGCCAAGAUAAGCAUACUUAACGAUGUUAGCGGCAACAUUAACCCUGGAAGGUAGCUUUUGAUCCAAGCUUUGAGUUAGUGUGUAAUGCACGCAACUAAUGCUCUCUUCUUGUUGCUCCAAGGUUAACACUGCUGCUUGGUCCUCCUGGAUGUGGAAAAACUACUCUGCUCAAGGCUUUGUCCGGAAACUUGGACAAGAAUCUAAAGGUUUUCAGACUUUGUUUCAAUCUGAUUCUCAUGAUGCAGAUGUGUAAACCACAGAACUCUUUUGUUUUCCACAGAUUUCUGGUGAAAUCUCUUACAAUGGACACGGUCUAAACGAGUUUGUUCCUCAGAAGACAUCCGCUUACAUAAGCCAACACGAUCUGCACAUUGCGGAGAUGACUGUUAGGGAGACAAUAGACUUCUCAGCUCGUUGUCAAGGUGUUGGUAGUCGAACAGGUAAGAUGUCUUCUGAAGCAUCCGCUAAACUAUUUGCUGAAACAGAUAUAUCAAUUUUCUCUGUACCAAUGUUCAAAAAGUUGUUUGGCUAUAACUAUGCAUUUUAUAGAGGACUACCGAUUAGAUUGAUUAUUCGGGGCAGUGCUAACGAAAUAUUGAUUUGUUUUAUAUAUUUUUUACAUUUUUAUAUGAUAUUUUUUGGCUUUAAUUAUAAAACUAUUUUGAUGAAUUGUAAAAAUUAAAUAUACAAAAUAAAACAAAUUAGAAAAAUCUGUGGAUUUGCACUAACAUAAUUGGUUAAUUUAGAUUGAUUUAAACCAAUUUUAACUGAUUUAGAACAAUUCAAACCGAUUUGAAUCAUGCUCUAUACUAUUGGCUGAAACAGAUAUUAUGAUGGAGGUCAGUAAAAGAGAAAAGGAUGGUGGAAUCAUUCCUGACCCUGACGUAGAUGCUUACAUGAAGGUCCCAUUCCAUAAGCUAAUCUUUUAAGAGGGAUGAUUAUAAAACCUUUUGUUAAUCCCAUUGUGCAGGCUAUAUCGGUUAAUGGACUUAAAAGAAGUCUACAAACAGAUUACAUCUUGAAGGUAAUUUCUCUGACAACAACUCAGACUUGUAAUCCUUGUUGAUUAGCUUCUUGAUUAUGUCAUGUAUUUGCAAUUUGCAUUUCUUUUUCUUCAGAUCCUAGGGCUUGACAUAUGUGCAGAAACAUUGGUUGGUAAUGCCAUGAAAAGAGGCAUAUCUGGUGGUCAAAAGAAGCGUCUUACUACAGGAGAGAUGAUCGUUGGUCCAACAAAAGCUCUGUUUAUGGAUGAAAUCACAAACGGCUUAGACAGCUCCACAGCGUUUCAGAUAGUUAAGUCACUUCAGCAGCUGGCUCACAUCACCGACGCAACUGUGUUUGUUUCCCUUCUUCAGCCUGCUCCAGAGUCAUAUGAUCUCUUUGACGAUAUUGUCUUGAUGGCUGAAGGAAAAAUAGUUUAUCAUGGUCCAAGAGGCGAGGUCUUGAGGUUCUUUGAAGAGUGUGGGUUUAGAUGCCCAGAGAGGAAAGGUGUUGCAGACUUUCUACAAGAGGUAAGAAGCCAAGUUUAUGUUCCUUGACACUUACGUUUUGUUCUGAGUUGUUUUUGUUUUGCAGGUUAUAUCUAGGAAGGACCAAGGACAGUACUGGCUGCACCAGGACAUACCCUAUACCUUUCUCUCAGUAGACGCGUUGUCCAGGAGAUUCAAGGAGUUAGAGAUUGGGAGAAAGAUUGAGGAUGCUCUCUCUAAGCCCUAUGAUAAUUCAAAAACCCACAAGGAUGCUCUCUCUUUCAGUGACUAUUCUCUUCCAAAGUGGGAGCUGUUCAGAGCAUGCAUCUCAAGAGAGUUUCUAUUAAUGAAGAGAAACUCUUUCGUCUACCUCUUCAAGACGUUUCAGGUUACAUUCUUCGUUCCUUGUGUCUUCUUUCAAUGUUCUAGGGUUAGGUCUAAAGAAACCCUUCUUGCCCUUUAUGUUUUGCAGCUUGUUCUGUCAGCAAUCCUCACUAUGACAGUUUUUAUUAGAACACGUAUGGGUGUAGAUAUCAUUCAUGGAAACUCUUACAUGAGUUGUCUCUUUUUCGCAACCGUUGUGCUUUUGGUGGAUGGUUUGCCAGAGCUGUCUAUGACUGUUCAACGUCUUGCCGUGUUCUACAAGCAAAAGCAACUUUGUUUCUAUCCAGCUUGGGCUUAUGCAAUCCCUGCAACCGUGUUAAAGAUCCCUCUCUCUUUCUUCGAAUCUCUCGUUUGGACUUGCCUUACUUACUACGUCAUUGGAUACACUCCUGAAGUCUCUAGGUAAGAAGAACUCUAUAACCAUCUCUUGCUUGCUCCCUACUCAAACGAUUAUGGAAAGUAAUGGUUACUUGGUGUUUUUAGGUUCUUACGUCAGUUCAUGAUGCUCUUUGCUGUUCACUUCACAUCCAUAUCCAUAUUCCGAUGUAUAGCUGCAAUCUUUCAGACAGGAGUUGCUUCAAUGGCAGCUGGUAGUUUCGCCGUAUUAAUCACCUUUGUGUUCGCCGGUUUCGCCAUCCCAUACAGUAAGACUUUUGCACUCUUUCUUCAUUUCAGUCUUGUUCCAAACUUCCAUCAAAACAUGACCAGGGCCGGAUCUAGGCACAGCCCAAUAAAACAUCGGUCUCGGUCCCUAAAUUUUUUGAAAUUUUUAGUACGAAUAAACCCCUAAACUAUAGAAAAAAAAAAUUGUUUUACUAAGAUUUUUAAAUGUUUCAAGCUCCCAAAAUCUCAUAUCCGGCCCUGAACGUGACAUUGGUUUUGUUGCUGCAGCUGAUAUGCCAGGGUGGCUGAAAUGGGGAUUCUGGGUGAAUCCUAUAGGUUACGCAGAGAUUGGGCUCUCUGUAAACGAGUUUCUUGCUCCGAGAUGGCAGCAAGUAAGUAUCUCAUCUUUUUACAUACUUCUCUUCAUCAUUCUUACAAGACUAAUCAAGUUUUUCUUGUUAUGUUUUGUAGAUGCAACCAACGAAUGUUACAUUGGGGAGAACCAUACUUGAAAGCAGAGGACUGAACUAUGAUGAUUACAUGUACUGGGUCUCAUUAUGUGCCUUGCUGGGACAGACUCUCCUCUUCAAUACUAUUUUCACUCUAGCUUUGAGUUUCUUGAAAUGUAAGUUACAAAAUAUCGAAAAAUAUGCCAUGGACUAAAGCAUAAACUGAAGAGCUUCUUUUUUAACAGCUCCCACUACAUCUCGCGCUAUGAUCUCCAAAGACAAGCUCUCUGAGCUGCAAGGAACAAAAGAUUCAUCACUCAAUAAGAACAAGAAGGCAAUAGAUUACACAGAAGAUUCAGGUGAAACAUAUAUGUCUUUCUUGUCAUACAAGCAAACUCUUUAUUCUCAGUUUAGCUUUAUUGACCUAAUUCAUUCAGCAGGGAAGAUGGCCUUACCUUUUAAGCCUCUCACCAUAACAUUUCAAGAUUUGAACUACUACGUUGACGUUCCUGCGGUAAAAUCUUCUCCUCCCCAUCCUUGGAUCUUAACCAUCUUCAUAUGCAAACAUGAUCAUCAAAGGACGUUUUGACUAAUCUUAGGAGAUGAGAGUUCAAGGAUACAAUGAGAAGAAACUGCAGCUUCUCUCAGAUAUCACCGGAGCUUUCAGACCAGGCGUUCUAACAGCGUUGAUGGGGAUCAGUGGAGCCGGAAAAACAACUCUACUCGACGUUCUCGCCGGAAGAAAAACAAGCGGAUACAUCGAAGGAGAGAUCAGAAUCAACGGAUACUUUAAAGUCCAAAAAACCUUCGCAAGAGUCUCAGGCUACUGCGAGCAAACAGAUAUACACUCACCAAACAUCACCGUCGAGGAGUCUCUAAUCUACUCAGCUUGGCUCCGUCUAGUUCCAGAAAUAGAUCACAAAACCAAAAUAGUAAGCCGGCCCUAGUGAUUCUAAAAAAGGCAAGAAUGACCUAGAAAGUAACUUGACUGAAAAGAAACUCGUUGCAGAGAUUCGUGAAGGAAGUUCUUGAGACGAUAGAGCUGGAGGAGAUCAAGGACGCGAUGGUGGGAGUCCCCGGCCAGAGCGGGCUGUCGACGGAGCAGAGGAAGAGGUUGACGGUGGCGGUGGAGUUGGUGGCGAAUCCUUCGAUCAUAUUCAUGGACGAGCCGACGACGGGGCUGGACGCAAGAGCAGCAGCCAUUGUGAUGAGAGCUGUGAAGAACGUUGCGGAGACUGGACGUACCAUUGUGUGCACUAUUCAUCAGCCUAGUAUCGAUAUUUUUGAAGCCUUCGACGAGGUACAUAUGUUUUUCAAAUAUGAAAAGUAUUUAUAGUGGUUUUGUUUUAAAAGAAUACUCUCACAUGUAUUAUAUUAACAUUUUAUCCAAAAGUAGAUAUAAGAGAUUUUUUUUCUUCAAAAUAGCCUUUAUCAAAAAUUUGAAAAUUAUAGAAUAAUUGAGUUUAGGGUUUAAAAGGGAUGGGUGAGAUUAGGUUUUAUAAAUUAAAGUAACUUAAUUUUUUUUAUUUAAAUGAGUGUGUUUUGAAGAUCUGUUAGUGUUAUAUUUGUGAUAAACUUUAAAAGUGCUAUUUUGGAGUUUUGACUAUUUUGUGGAUAAUUAAGAAGAAAUUUCUUAUAACAUAUUGUUUUUAUUACAUGUUCAGUUGGUACUUCUGAAGAGAGGAGGUCGCAUGAUUUACACUGGACCACUUGGACAACAUUCUUCUCAUGUCAUACAGUAUUUUGAGGUUAGCGUGUUAUACAAGAAAAUGAGCCAGUUUAGUUUCUAUGACUUUUUCAAUGUUUUAACGAAAUAAUUAACUAUGUAUAUUUUUGUUAUUUGGGGUUAAUGAACAGAGUAUCUCUGGAGUUGCUAAGAUUAAAGACAACUACAAUCCAGCAACAUGGAUGCUAGAGGUCACUUCACAGUCUGUAGAGAUUGAACUCAACAUGGAUUUUGCAAAAAUCUACAAAGAAUCUGCUCUCUACAAGUGAGCUGAAUAUCUCAAAAACAACUGAAACCUUGUCAUUUAUUACGAGCUCAUGUGUUUUCUCUGUAGCAGGAGCAACUAUGAGCUUGCUCAGGAGCUGAGCAAACCGGAUCCCGGGUCAAGCGAUUUACAUUUCGAGAGAACUUUUGCGCAGAGCUGGUGGGAACAGUUCAAAUCUUGUCUAUGGAAGAUGAGCUUGUCUUACUGGAGAAGCCCUGCUUACAACUUGAUGCGAAUCUUUCACACUUUAGUCUCUUCUUUGAUCUUUGGUUUACUCUUCUGGAAGCAAGGUCAAAAGAUGUAAGUUAGUUGCAUAAAAUACAUUCAAAUCAUCAUUAGAGCAUGUUCAUUAGUGAGACCCUUAAGUGUCUCUUAAGUGGGGUUUAAUAAUUUUUUAACUAUUAAAUUUAAUAUAAGAGAUUUUGUUAAGAAACACUUAAUUAUAGUGGUUUAUUGGUGGUUUCUUAAUUAAGGUGCUUAACAAAUAAAAAAAUAUUAAACUUUUUUUAAACAUAAAAUUUUAAACAAAGAUUAAUUUUAUUUAUUAAAUAAAACAAAGUCAAACAUAACAUUUUAAACAUAGAUUUUAAAAUAAAAAAAAUUAAAACAUUAAAACAAAGAUUACUAAAAUAAACAAUACUAAUUUUAAAGCGGCAUCCAAGUUCAGUUGUUGUGUUGAUCACGUCCAAAUUUAUGCCAUAUAUGUUCAACCAAAUCACCUUUCAGUUGUUGAUGCGCUUGUCUAUCACGAAUUCUUGUUCGAACACCCAUCUGAUUGGCGAUAUUUGUAGGGAUAUCUGUAGAAUAUGUUAAAUCUACAUAUGAACUUCUGCUGCCUUCGCCUUGUUGGAAUCCCGAGACAUCAAACUAACUGCAUUCAUCCCGUUCGUUUUCUACUAUCAUAUUAUGGAGUAUGAUACAUGCUCUCAUAAUCUUCCCAAUCUUGACUUUAUCCCAACAAAGUGCUGGAUUUUUAACAAUGGCAAAUCGAGCUUGCAAGACUCCGAAAGCACGCUCGACAUCUUUUCGGGCAGCUUCUUGAUGUUGAGCAAAUAAAACUGCUUUCGGCCCUUGUGGAAGUGAAAUAGAUUGGAUGAAAGUUGCCUAUUUCGGAUAAAUUCUAUCGAUCAGAUAGUAAGCCAAAUCAUACUCUUUUCCGUUGACUGAGAAAUUCACUUGCGGGGCUUGACCAUUUAUGAUGUCAUCAAAAACAGGUGAGCGAUCUAGAACAUUAAUAUCAUUUAAGGUACCUGGAGGUCCAAAAAACGUAUGCCAUAUCCAGAGAUCAUAUGAAGCAACCGCCUCUAAAACUAUUGUGGGUUUCCCCGAACCACGAGAAUAUUGCCCUUUCCAAGUGGUGGGACAAUUCUUCCACUCCCAAUGCAUACAAUCGAUGCUUCCUAUCAUCCCGGGAAAUCCACGAACCUCUCCAAUAUAAAGUAGACGUUGAAGGUCAUCCGGUGUUGGUCUUCUUAGGUACUCAUCGCCGAACAAAUUUAUGAUUGCUUCCACAAAAUUUUCCACACAUAACCGAACAGUGGUUGCACCGAGCCUGAGGUAUUCGUCGACCGCAUCAAGCGCAGAACCAUAUGCCAACACACGAAUAGCUGCUGUACACUUUUGAAGCGGGGAGAGACCUUGCCUUCCGGUAACAUCCUUCUUCUGACGAAAGAAUUGGACUUCGUUGGAGAGGCGAUCAACAAUAUACAUGAACAAAGGCUUGUUCAUUCUAAAUCGACGUCGGAAUAGAUUUGCUGGAUAUGUCGGCGCGUCACUGAAAUAAUCAUUCCAUAACCGGAGAUGGCCUUCUUCACGAUUUCUUUCAAUAAAAACUCUCUUUUUCUUUUUCUUCCUUUGAUCUUGUUGAUCACCAUAAACAUUGCACAAAUUCUCAAAUGUUUGUUCGAAAGUCUGAUCAAAAUAUUUAUCGAACAUUUCAUCAAAUGACUCAUCCAAAUCAAAUGACUCAUCCGAGAUGUGAUUUGAAGACGAAGCCAUGAAAGACUUGAUUUCGAAAAUUUAAGAAUGGUGAGUGUGUGAACGUGAGAUGAAAAAGAGAAGGAAGAGAGAACAAAGAGAACCGAGAGAAUGAGAACGUAGAGAAUUGUGAGUAUGAUCAGUUUUUAUUUUACAAAGAGAAUGAAGAACCGAGAGAAGAACAUGAGACUAUAGAGAUAGAGAAUGGUAAGAGAGAAUGGUGAUUUCUUUACGCUCUCAGCACAAACAUUUUAUAACCGUCACCGUUAGAGAGAGAGAGCUCGCCGUUGUCCAUCGUCGACGAGAGAAACCCAUAGAAACGUCGACAAGCUCAACGGAGAGGGAGAGAGAGGAAACGCCGUUUCGUCGACGAGAUCACCGAGACAGAGAGAGAGAGAGAGAGAGGAAUCACCUUUUCGUCGAGGAGAGCACCGACAGAGAGAGAAAGAGCUCGCCGUUGUCCAUCGUCGACGAGAGAAACCAAUAGAGACGUCGACGAGCUCAACGGAGAGGGAGAGAGAGGAAACGCUGUUUCGUCGACGAGAUCACCGAGACAGAGAGGGAGAGAGAGAGGAAUCGCCUUUUCGUCGAGGAGAGCACCGACAGAGAGAGAAAGAGCUCGCCGUUAUCCAUCGUCGACGAGGAAUAUCCAUAGAGACGUCGACGAGCUCAACGGAGAGGGAGAGAGGAAUCGCCGUUGUCGUCACUCUUGCGGAGCAACCGAGAAGAGAAAGGAAAGAGAGAAAGAAACAAGAACGACUUCACCGUUCGGAGAGCCAAUAACGACGUGACACGUCGCCCAAAUUACCGUGUCUUCGAGCACUUAAUUAGGGGACGUCCCUUGGCUUUAUUUCGUGUUUUCCAUUUUUUUUUAUGAUUAAUUAAGUUAAGGGACAUGCUUAAGAGCUGCCUUUGAACAUGCUCUUACAUUCCUAGUAAAGAACUGUCUCACACAUUAGGAAAGUACUAUUUUAUUUCAAAAAUAGCACACAAGAAUAUUUUUUUCCAAAAGAGUAUUAACUAAAAGUAUAUGGGUGUGGAUUUAGUGAUUAUGAUUUAGGGUUUAAUAUUUAGAGAGUGGAGUUAGGGUAAGAGUUUAGGAUACAGAGUAAUUUAGUCAAUUUAAUCUUUAACUAAUUAUAGUUUGAGAAUUUUUCUCUUAUGUUCUAUUUUUGUCAUAAUUGUUUGUAUUUUUUUUUUUUUGGCAGAGAUACUCAACAGAACUUGUUCACAGUUCUUGGAGCCAUCUAUGGCCUUGUGAUAUUCUUGGGGGUAAACAACUGCACUUCAGCUUUACAGUAUUUUGAGACAGAGCGUAACGUUAUGUACCGCGAAAGAUUCGCUGGAAUGUACUCUGCCUUUGCCUUUGCACUGGCUCAGGUUGUGACCGAGAUUCCUUACAUUUUCAUCCAAAGCGCAGAGUUUGUGAUCAUAAUAUAUCCUAUGAUGGGUUUAUACGGAUCUGCCUAUAAAGUCUUUUGGAGUCUCUACUCAAUGUUCUGCAACUUACUCUCCUUCAACUACUUAGCAUUGUUCCUCAUCUCCAUCACUCCAAACUUCAUGCUCGCAGCUAUUCUCCAGUCUCUUUUCUUCGUUGCUUUCAACCUUUUUGCUGGAUUCUUGAUUCCACUACCGGUAAGUUCUUUUUGUAACAAGUCAUUAUAUACCAUUAUCAUCAUCGUUGAUCUUUACCUAUAGUUAAUAGUGUUUUUCCUUGAUGUUGAAACAAUGCAGCAAAUACCAAAGUGGUGGGUGUGGCUUUACUAUCUAACACCUCCCUCUUGGAGUCUCAAUGUGUUUUUCUCGUCUCAGUACGGUGAUAUUCAUCAAGAGAUCAAUGCAUUUGGAGAAACCACGACCGUGGCGAGAUUCUUAGAGGACUAUUUUGGAUUCCAUUAUGAUCGUUUGAUGACUUCAGCCAUUAUUCUCAUAGCGUUUCCAGUUGCAUUGGCUUCUAUGUUUGCUUUCUUUGUUGCCAAACUCAACUUUCAGAAACGAUGAUCCAUCACACACCAACCAAAGGUUUGAAACACCAAAGGGUAGUUUACAAAUUACUGUAUGGACAUGCACGUAUUCGUUGUCACACUAUUUGUAAACACUAAACAAAUGCAAAAUUUAUUUAUAAAAUCAUAAGAAAGUUGGAUAUACUCUAAUGCAUCAAAAUAAAUAGGUCUACAACAUAAUAGUAACUCUCUUAUUUUUUUACCAUAGAGAAAUGAUCUACGGCUGAAUACUUCAAAUAUUAAUUAGUAUACUGCUUCAUGCAAUUGAAAUGAAUAGUAAAGUAUACUGCUUCCUUUAUUCAGGCACAUCAUAAUUUUCAAGAAGAAACGUCAUUUUCUUUCUUUGAUCACAAAAGACACAAGAAGAAAGAGACAUGUGUGUGUCUUGUCGUCCUCCCCAUCUCUACUAACACUUUGAAUUUAAUACUGUCAAACUCAAAGGUCUCCUAAAGCCUAAUUAAUCCCUUUAUGAUCACAUGCCCUUCUCCUUCCUCUCUCUCUCUCCAUUCUCCUAGUACCCAUCAAGAACUUCCACAAAAGUAUUAAACUGUAGCUUCAGGAUCCAACCUCAGAGAAACGGUUCUCAAUCAAGGUUAUUUGAGUAUUGGAUAUUCUUGAUUCUUGAACUCAGGAAAAGUCAUUACUAGCCUGUGAUUCUGCUUCAUGACUUGAGGUUGAAGCAACAACACUUUCUUCACCAGAAGAAACAUCUUUGAUCUUUGAACUUAACUCUUCUUUUUCUUCUUCCACGGAGGCAACAUUUUCAGUUUCUUGAUCAAUGUUUUCUUCCUCAACAAAUCCAUUUCCAUGAGUUUCUUUUUCCUCUCCUUCUUCCUUGGAAGCUGAGGUGGAAACCGAUGAUAAACAAGAAACUUCAGAUGAACUCAACUGCUCUGAUCCUUCAGAACUGCGAGACCCUUUUAUGGAUUCAAGCUUUUUCAUCAGAAACUUUAGUCUCUUCUCUGCUUUCUCCCUUAAUCUGAUCUCUUCUUUCAGAUUUUUCUCCAGCUCUUCCAUCUGUUUCCAAGAGAUUAAAGGUUUUCUUUGAAACAAAAAUCAGCUUAUUACCAAACAAAGAUUAAAAAAAAUAAAAAUAACAGAGCAAAUGAAUUUACAAGUAACAAGAAUGACUCUUUUCUUGGUUGUUGAUUAAACCCAAAUCUUCAAAAAAGUAGUGAGAAAAAGGCAUUUCUUAAACAAGAAUGAUGAUACUAAGGAUUUUAUGAAACUUACCUUUCUGGUAAUGAGGUCUGCUUCAUCUUUUACAGACCUUGAAACUUGCCUCUCUGCAAGCAGUCUCCCUCUUAGACACUCCACAGUUCUCAGAUUUCCCUUCUCUUCUCCUUCCUCCAUCUUCUUACUUGCAAAAUUUGUUCUUAAACAAAAAAAAAGAAGAUAAAAAUCAAUUCCUCAUAUACACUCUCUACAUAGAACUUUCUUAAAAUCACACAAUACGACAUAUACAUGUAUAUAAAGAGAAAGAGAAACCUGCAUUUCGUGUUGUAAUUGAAGGGAUCAAUUGUCAUACUGUUCUUUAUAUAUUCAAAAACCAGAACCAGAUUGGUAAAAGCUUGUAAAGCUCAACUUCUCACCUAACUGCAAAAAGGGUAAACUAAAAAUAAUAAGACAGUUAAGACCAAUGUGUUGUUAGAUUGAUGUCACUAUGAUUUACAUUUAUUGUUCAUUCAGUAAGAGGAACAUAUCAACAUCAUAUCUUAAAAACCAACUUACCACGACACAGUCGACACUCUUCUUUAACAAAAAAAAAAAAAAAAUCUCAAGUUCAAAUAGUAAAACAGAUCCAGUUUCAAAUUCAAACCCCCUCACUUGGUAGAGAAGAGUGAAAUGAACUUAAAACCACAAAAGUUUUGAAGUUCUCCUGAAAAGAAGAACAGAAUCUGUGGUGUAGGGACAUGUUGUAAGCAAAACGACAGUGUGGGAUUGGACUUUUGUUACCUUCUCGUGAGUUGGUUGGUAACUCUCCCACUUCAAGACCUUUUUUAUGGUUAAUAAAUUUAACUUCUUACUACAAGGUUAGUUUUAUAUUAUAUGAUACCGCAAAUAUGCAUGUGAACAAGAGGAGUCAUCCUAUUUGUUAAUAUUAAACCAUAUUGCUAUACAAUUUUAGUUUUACCAAGUGUCACAGAUCCCUUCGUCAACAAUAUCACAACAAUACAAAAACAACAUUUCUUGGCCACACAGAAAGUUAAUGCUCCCAAGUCCCAACCUCUCGCUAUAAUUUUACUAAAUAGUUUGUGUUAAUUUUCUUUUUCAAAUUAGAUAAUUAGUUACCAACACGCAAAGAAAACAUUCGAGUGAUUAAGAGCUCACUUGUACUUCACUCAAAGAUCAAAGUAAUUACCAUAACCCUUUUAAUCAAACUAUACUUAUUUUGUGAAGCAACCUAAUGAAUAUAUUCUUGUUCUUAUUAGGAACCCCGCCACUUCAAUCCAAGCCACUUAGUAACUCUCAAGUUAUAGCGAGCUUGGGUAUGAUCUUACCGAUCAUUCAAAGUUAUGUUCACUGACAACAAUAAAAACUACAUAUCAUGAAAAGCAAAAUCAUUACACAUAAACUCUUUUAGAAGCCCCACAAGAAACCCUUUUGAACUCAUUCGACUUCACGGCAAGAAAAUCAAAAAGCUUCAUCAAGCUCUUGUUUCAUGAUACACUCCUUGUCACUCAUCGACUCAACCACACCCUCUAUCAUCUCAUACAUCUCGUUGCUUCUCUCACACGAACCAUCUUUCGCAAUGAAACUUCGUAAUCCUUUACCAGUAUCGAUCCAGCUAGUUCCAGGGAUUUUCUUCAAUCCGAUUUUUUUCAUCUUAUCCCUUACCAUCUCAGCUUCUUCCCAUCUCCCUGCUUGAGUGCAUAGAUUCGCCAUGAUAGUGUAACUCCCUGUAUUUUCUGGUUACAAAAAUAGUAAUACUUAUAUAUAAAAAUUAAUUUUAUUUAAUAUAUUUUCAUUUUUAUAAUAGUAUAUAUAAAUUUNNNNNNNNNNNNNNNNNNNNNNNNNNNNNNNNNNNNNNNNNNNNNNNNNNNNNNNNNNNNNNNNNNNNNNNNNNNNNNNNNNNNNNNNNNNNNNNNNNNNUAUCAUUUUCGUUAAUGUAAUAGGAGGGCCAACCCAAACAGAGAUUGUCAUGAGCGAGAUAGACACACCAGAGAGCUUUCAGCUUAUGGAGUUUGGAGUUAUUUUCGAGGCGACGAAUCACUUUUCCGAAAGCAACAAAGUCGGACAAGGUGGUUUUGGUCCAGUUUACAAGGUAUUUUAAUUUCUCUAGCUAUUUGGACCGAAUCAAAUUAAACUUGAAUCGGCCGGUGACUUGUCUUUCAUUCAACUAAAAAACUAAUAAUAAUAAGGGAAAAUGUGAUGGUAUUGCAGGGAACCUUGCCUGAUGGAAACGAGAUCGCAGUAAAAAGAUUGAAAGCGAGAUCAUCUCAGGGGAUGGCAGAGUUCCGAAAUGAAGUGACUCUGAUUUUACGUGUACUACACGUGAACCUCGUCCGACUUCUAGGCUGUUGCAUCCAUGGAUACGAUAGACUAUUGGUCUACGAGUUCCUGGAGAAUUCUAGCCUCAGCAGCUAUAUCUUCAGUUACUCUCACUCUCUCUCUCUCUAUUCUAGAAUUUACUUGUUAUUUUGUAAACUUUAAACUUGAUUCGUUUUGUUUUUGAUUGAUUACCUCAGAUCAAACUAGAAGCCCGCUCCUAAACUGGGAGCAUAGGUUCGAUAUAAUGAAAGGUAUUGCUGAAGGAUUGUGCUACCUCCACAACUUCACAAGCCCACCGAUACUUCACCGCGACCUGAAACCAAGUAAUGUGCUUCUAGGCAGAGACAUGAUCCCAAAAAUCUCAGAUUUUGGGCUGGCUCAGAUGAUGGAAACUGGCACCACAGAAGCUGCAAUGGAAACAGCAGUAGGAACUUAGUAAGCAUCAACAAAUUGUUAAAACUUUCUUCUUCUUCUUUUUUUUUUUUUCACUAAAACAAAAUCACAAUCAAUUAAUUAAAUCCUCUUUUGUUUGUUUUUUGUGCAGCGGCUACAUGUCUGAAGAAUAUGCGAAAGAUAAUAUCAUGUCCCAGAAAUCAGAUGUCUUCAGUUAUGGAGUAGUGUUGUUAGAGAUUCUUACUGGAAGGAGAAAUCAUGAGUAUUGUAUUGCAAAUCCAGGAGAUAGUCUUCUCGACUUCGUAAGUUUAAUUUUUCUUUGUAUUCUUAAAAUUUUAAAGAAAAUUUAUAUUUUAGAGUUUUUUAAAAAGGUUUGGAGGCGAUGGAAGGAUGGUACUGGAUUGGAGGUCGUGGAUUCGAGCUUCCAUGAUGAUUCAUUUAUAGAAGACCAGGUUUUACGAUCAAUGAAGAUUGGUCUAUCCUGUGUUCAACAAAAUAUGCACGAUAGGCCUAGUACAAGGACCAUUGUGGUUAUGUUUGAAAAUGGCCCACGAUCAGAAAUUCUAGAUCCGACGAGACCAAACUAUAAUCUCACAAGAGCUGAUUCAUCUUCUUCUCCAGUUACCGUUACCGACCAAUCAGUCACUAUUAACGAGGCCACUUUGUCAUGCACUGACGCCAGGUGAUGUUUUUAUGUAGUGCGUUUUUCUACUAGUUUACUUAAAAAAAAAAAAAUUUGAACUAUCAUUCCUAUGUUAUGUUUAAUUUCAUGUGUUUUUUCUUCUAGUUUACUCUUUGAAAAAAUAACUACUAUUAUUCAUAUGUAAUGUUUUUAGUUGUUUGGGUCUCAGUGCGGGAGACUGAUACUUUAAUGGUUUAUCUCUUUUGCUAUGCACUUAAUGACAACGAACAUAAUAUCUCGAUAUAAUAAUUAACAACUAGGAUGAGACAAAACCAAAACCAAAACCAAAGGCAACAAGUUACAAGACAAACUGUUCAAAGUCAAUCUAAUCACAAAGAUAAACCCAGUUACAUAAUAUCCCACCUAUUUUUGUUUUUUAGCUGGUGUUUGAUCGAUGUUCUUCACCUGCAAGCAAAAAUGUGGCUUUAGCUGCUUCCUCUUUUGGUGUCUGAAAUGCUUUAAGAACAGAGAGAGAGAGAGGGAGAGCAAAAUUGUUUUACUGGGCCGCAUUCUAAAUAGUACGGCUUUGGUAAUUAUGUAAACAUAUCUUAUACCGAGACAAAUAAGAAUUAAAUUAAGUUAUCCUAUCAAUUAAUUUCAAAACCUCCACUUAGUCUAAUGAUUAACGGAAUCAUUUGGUUAGAAUAAUUAUUUAGCCAUAAACACCAAAAUCACAUGGAACAUAAGCUCAAUUACCUGUUUGGUGCCUUCAACAGAAGAAGUACGACCCCAUCUCUCAGGGGUCCCAAAGUAUGCUACUGUUGAAAGCAAAGCUUGAUAUAUGAACCGGAGGCUUUAUCUCUGUCUUGUUAUUAAUUUUUCUCAAAUGCCACCCCAAAACUUGUGAAGAUUCACAAACCGGCCUCUCUACUAUCACUCGCUUCCUAUUAGCUGAUACCAAUAUGUAUACAUUGUUUAGCCCCGCAAAAUGGACUAUCCCGCUUUGUUUGUGAUGCUCAAUGUGUCUCAACGCUAGGUUCCUUUGAUGAUCAAGCUCAAAUUCAAAGCUCGUGAAGUUUUCUUUGAAGACUAUACGUCUAUACAUUAAACCAGUUUUUCUUAACAUUGUUGGUGAAGAGUUUUCUUCAGCAUCGGAGUGUUUCUCCACGACUAUCCACAAUAAAGGAGGUGGAACUAGCCUCAAAGUAUUGGCCAUUCUCCUAAGGAGCACAAUUUUGUAACGAUCUUUCGUCAUUACCCAGAGUUACAACAAUCACUAGACCUCUUGGUGCAACUUCUUCUUCUUCUGUCUUGGAGAGUGAUCUGGUUUCUUGUUCAGGUUCUUGUGACUUCAAAGGUGCUGGGGCCUGACCUUGGGAACUGUUCAAUGCUUUAUCAACGAGAGGAUUGUGUGUAUAGGUAGAGUUCUCAAAAGGUUGGGAAGGAAUCUGAGAUUUAGUGGUAGUAGAGGGGGUGGUUUCGAAAUUAUAGAAAAGUGAAGCCUUACCAGCAGGAGCAAAGCCAGUGAUGAAACACAUUACAAAACAUAGAGAGAAAUGGAUCACAGCUUUCUUCCAUACCUGAGUUUUCUUCUUUGAUCUCUCCAGAGAUCCCAUCAGGAUCCAACCCUAAGAAGAAGUUUUUCUUAAUUAAGUGAUUUUCCUUUUAUUUUUUGGGAAGAACAAUCUAGUUUGAAGAGUAUGAAAUAUAAGGGCUUUUAUGACAUUUGUAUAGUUUUUGUCUUUAUAUUGUUGGUAAAUGAUUAAAACCGGCGAGCUACGUAGGAGUACGUUCUCUUUGAUUGAUUGCGUGUGUUGGUUGUGUUCUGCAACAACUUGUUGGGAUCAUUGGAACUCACUAGCUAGCUGAAACAUGUUUGGGAAAUAUAAGAAAAUUACUGUUAAUAUAGCAAAUAUAUUAAAAUUAAACUUUGCUUAUUAAUGACUCUUAAUGCAAGUAAUUAAGUAUUAUUUUAGUUGUUGUUGAUGACUGAUGAGUAAGGUUAUGAUCAAGAUAGGAACUUUUGAGAGUACCUAAUAUAGAGGAUAGUAGUCUUCAAAAAGUGUGAAGUGAUGAAACUUGAAGUUGAAAGAGACAAUCCAAAAAAUAAAUAUUAACAUGUCAUCGUGGUUUAUAUUAUGCACUUUAACAAAUGGAUAUCAUUUUUACCGUUAUAUCAAGCCAUGUAAAUACAUACCACCACAAACAAGUCGUUUUCUCAAGAAAGUUAGAAAAGAGAUCAAGCUGGACGAGGAGUGAGCCUAUCUUUGGCCGCCGUGUCUCCACGGUGGAGGCCAGAGGAGAUACGCAAGCAAGAAGAAGCCCCCCGAGAAACGCUCUGUUACUAACUCGGUGUUCUUGGAGCAAGAACAAGAAGAGACAAAGGAACCUCAUGAUGAUGACGUCAUUGUCGGAGAACCCAAGGUUGUGCAUUUAAUAUUCAGUUCAUUUAAUACAUCAGUCAAGUCACAUUUCCAAGAAAAUACUCCACUAACGAAGGCGUCUUUGUCUAUUUUUAAUUCGUUCCUUAACGCGUACGGAACGCGGCCCAAUAAAAUAAUUACUUUAAUUCUAUUUUAAGUCUCUGCUUCUCUACCUUCUUUCCUCUUUGUAAGAUCAGAGAGAGAGCGUUUGUUGAGAAGAUCUUAUUAGAAGGUGAAUAUCAAUCAGAACAUGGCGAAAGAAGACAACCACGAAGCUCAACGAUGCGAGUGCGAGGAUCAUGAGGAAUCGAGUCCUCUCUUGCAAGUUAACGAAAGCAAGAUCUGCUCAAAAGGGGACACCACCAAGACGGCGGAGGAAUAUGGCUGGACGGCGGAUGGAUUGCCGGUGAGCCAAGGGAGCGUGAUCGGCGAGCCGAUCGGGAGAAACCAAUGGAGUUCCGGUCUUUUUUCCUGUCUCGGCCGAAACGACGAGUUCUGCAGCAGCGAUCUCGAAGUUUGUGAGUCUUUAUGUUCUGUCUCAAUGAUUAGUGUCUGAAAUUUGGGAUUUUUUUGUUAAUGGGUUUCUUGAUUUGGUGGAGGAUGAAUUGUAAAGUUUUGAUUUUGAUGUGUUUUUCACUGUUGGUGAGUCUUGCUUGUGUUCUGUCUGACUGUCUCAAUGGUUAUUGUCGGAAAUUUUGGUUUUUUUUUUAUUUGGUAGAGAUUGAAUUGGAAAGUUUUGAUUUUGAUGUGUUUCACGGUUGGUGAGUCUUGUGUUCUGUCUCAAAUGAUUAUUGUCGGAAAUUUGAGGUAUUCCCUAAUGGGUUUCUUGAUUUGGUGGAGAUUGUAUUAGAAAGUUUUGAUUUUGAUGUGGUUCAUGGUUGGUGAAAAGACUCAAAUCUUUUACAUCUUAAUGGCUUCUUCUUUGUUAGGUCUCCUUGGAAGUGUGGCUCCAUGUGUGCUGUAUGGAAGCAAUGCAGAGAGGCUUGGGUCUGCUCCUGGAACGUUUUCGAAUCACUGCUUGACGUAUUUGGGGUUGUACUUUGUCGGCAACUCUCUAUUUGGAUGGAACUGCCUUGCUCCAUGGUUCUCUUAUUCUAGCCGCUCUGCCAUUCGCCGAAGGUUUAACCUUGAGGUAAUGAUCAAAUUAUCUGGUAUUUAAUCCGGAAAAAAACUGAAAAAUCUGUUUUUAUAUCUGAAUUAUCUGAAAUUAUCUGAGAAAAAGGAACCGAACCGAAAUUUUGUAUUAGUCAGUUUUUAACAUUGUUGCCCGAACCAAAAACGGAAAUAACCAAAACCGAACCAAAUUUCAAAUAAUCAAACGGUUCCUAUAUCUCUAGAACCGAAAAUCGAAAAAAAAAAAGAACUGGAAGUGAACGCCAAGCCUAGUUGUACUCUAAGAAAAGAGUCAAUCAACUCCUCUCUUUAUAUAUCUUCUUGGUUGUGUACCACUCUCUGAGUUUUAUAGGAGCCAUGGAGAGACAAGUCUUGUCUCAUAGGCACUCUAGUGUCUCUAGUUUUGGGCAUGUGUAUUACGAGAGUCUCCGUUGCAUUCCAUCUCGUGACCCUAUCUUUUGUUUUCUUUUGGUGUAAAAAACAGGGAAGCUUUGAGGCGAUGAACAGGUCGUGUGGUUGCUGCGGUAGCUGCAUAGAGGAUGAGAUGCAAAGGGAACAUAUGGAGACGACUUGUGACUUUGUGACGCAUGUCCUUUGCCAUACAUGUGCACUUUGCCAAGAAGGCCGUGAGAUCCGCAGGAAGGUUCUUCACCCGGGUUUCAAUGCUCAGUCCACUGUGGUUGUGCUUCCACCAAGUGAACAAACCAUGGGACGUAAGUAAGUGAAAAGCUUGCGUUGAGUCAUGUGUCCUAAAUAACAUUUGUAAUACACAAGGUGAACUAUGACGUUGUCUCUUGCUUGCUUUUGUCGCGUGUUCUUUUCUUUUUUUUGGUCUUUCUUCAGUGCAUGCAAAUGUAUGUAUAUCUUUAUUGUUACGUACUUGGUUUUGGAUAUGGUCUUGUAAUAUUCAAUAAAGUUUCGCAACUUGUAACUCUAUAAACGUGGAGGCAUUCCUUUCCGGCGGAACCUUCAUUGCUCAUAGCUCCAAACCAAAGUCUGUGAGAUCAGAUGUGGUAAAGAACGGUUCGGAGAUUCUAAUGAAAUGAAAGAUCUGUUUUUGGACCGGAGAGAUCAAGACAAAAGUGAUUGAUUGCAUUUAAUUUAUAAGACUUUUUAUAUCGCAACUUUGCGAGUCUUUAAUUGUUGCACUAGAGAUCCAUUGUAAUCAUUGUGGUUAAUUUGACUCCUUGAGUUUAUUAGUGUGCAUGUGAUAUGAUUUCUUUAGAUUUGGUUUUAAUAUACAUUUUGUGAUAAAAGGGUCAAGAUCUAUAGCUUAAUACUAUAAUUAAUGUUAAUUAGUACAUUUGACAUUUUCUUAUAGAAAUGAUUAAAUAGGUCUAUUGAUUAGACGCCAAACAAGACUGGCCAAAUUAAUCGCUGAUAAUUCAAAAGAAACCAGACGAAUUAUCAAAAGAUCUUCUAAUAAUGAAAUGAUUUGUACAAAGAGUCAAAAGGAGACACAUGGAGAAGUGCCCAACUCGUCUGGCAUGGCACCUCACUACUAAGCAAUCACGAUUUGGCUUGUGGAGUCAACGAGCUUAUGACAUUAGCUAGUUAAUUUCCCCCAAGUUGACAUCUACUUUUUAAACACAAUUUAUUUAUUACUUAUUAUACAAUUGUAGAUCUCAUCAUAUAUUUUUGAUAUGCGAUUUCUAGUAGUUUAUUGUAGACGACUGUUCUUUGUUUUCUCUUACUCUCUAAUCUGAAUCUCAUUGCAUGGUCGGCAACAUUUUUUACUUGGAACAUUUUACCAUCAAUAAUCGAAUUUUGAUAUCAUGUUAAUAAGUUCUAAAAACUUUAAUGUAUAACUUAACUUAUGUCCCUUAUACAUUACCUGUUAUUCCAUCACAUUUUGAUUUUGAAUUUGUAAGAAGUUUAUAUUUGUGUAUCAUAUAAGUUUAUGGUCUUGAAUCUAAUAGUUUUUGGUACUGUUAGUUCUAAAAUCAUUGACGAAUAUACCAAAAAAUGUGACAAGAGAUAUAUAAAAGUCCCAUCAAAUAAAUUUGGAUUGGUAGUUGUUUCGAAGUCACUCCCUAAUGUACCAAGAACAUAUCUUAAUCCAUCCCAGUUUUUGUAUCUCUUCUUAUUGACUCCAAACCAUUAACACACACACACACAUACAUACAUAUGAUAUAUGAUAUAUAUGGUUAUUAUCUUUCAUAGCAAACAUAAUCAGUUAGUUCACAUAACGACAAUCCUUCCUAAUCUCUCCUUGGUCACCGGUGAGAGGAUUGGUCUCGGACAAGAGCCUGAUAGCGCGUGAAAAUUGCUCAUGGAAGUAACCAUUGUCCGCAGCCAUCUUCGCCACAAAGGGUGCGGUCCUCGGAUCCGUGGCUAUCUCAUCAUCGAUGACAAGGAGUCCUUUAUGAGCCAUGAUGUUUUUGUAAUACAUAUUGUCCACAACCAUCGGUGUCUCAGGGUCGUUGCGGGAGUAUAAGACCUCUUUUGGGUUCGGAUUUGGAGUAGGGCAACGUUUUUUCAAGUAAAGGGCGUACGUAGGGUCGAGAGUCGGGUCAAUCGUUGGGUAUAGCCGGUGCACUAGGUUAACGCAGUGGACUCUACCCACUGAGUGUGCACCUACGGUAAUAAAAAUUGACCGAUCAAUAACAAUGACAGUUAUAUAUCUUUAUUAUCUUAACUAGUAAAUAAACUUUCCAAAAAAAAAUAUCAUAUGUAUUAUUUAAGUAUAUGGUUGAUAAAACUAUUUUAUUUUGAUUUUAUCAGAAAAUGAACCAAAAAUACCCAAAUUAUCUUCUAUUGAACCACCGGACCGUAUAAAAUUUGGUUUAAUUAACGGUGUAAAACGCACAUCUAUCCUAAAAUCUUGAACAAAUUCAAAAACCAAAAUGUCCAUCCUGGUUAGUGUUACCGUGCUGGCUCAAAUCUAUUGACCUAUGCAUUUAAAAGAUAGUUUCUACUCAGAUUUAUAACUCAGGUACCUAAGAGAGCAACGGUGGCUUCAACAUCGAUGCCGAUGGAGUUAAAGUUUGAGAGAACAGACGAGAGAGAGUCAUUGUGGUUAGGAACUAGAGCCUCAACAUCUCUCAAGUAGCUCCCUCUACUGUCUCUCCUUCCUGUCUUUAUCAUAUCUAUCUUUGGCCCUUUCAACUAUUCAUUUCACCAACCAAAAAAAAAACAUCUUAAUAAAAAUAUAAUUCCAAACUAAUUAAAUUAACCUUACAAUGCAUAUACUUACCAUGACAAUACCAUCUCUAGCAGAGAGAGCAACAAUAUCAGCGCAAGAGACUGUUCCAGGACAUUCUUUCUCGAGUGCAUCUUUGAUAGUCUUGAUAUACUUAAAGUUUCUCAUACCAAAACUCCUUGUUGACUUUUGCUCUGAUUCCACACCUCUUGCUGUCUCUAGUAGCAGUGACGCAUCACACGACUACAAAAAAAAAUACCCAUGAACAUAAAUAUUCACGAUGACUUUUUGGUAAUCAUGUUUUUAAAAAUAUUCACGAUGAUGAUGAUGCCAUGUGAUUAUAGAGUAAAUGUAAUUACCUUGACGACGCAGUCAUGGAAGAGAUUACGGAGCCAAGAUACGGCUGUGUUGCCGUGUUUGUAGUACAGCGUCUCCACUUGUUGUCUGAUUAUCUCUUCCGCUCUCGGACAACUCUCUCUGUAAUAAUUCAUCUUCAGUUCCGCAUUUCCUACAGUUUAGUUAAUCUUUAGAUUCGAUUUAAAAAAAAGUUAAUCUUUAGAUUAUUCGCUUUAUUUACGUAUGAGUGAUUACUAGCCAUUUUAUAAUAUAAUAUUUGUUGAAUUUUUACGGUGGAAAUUAGUUUACUAAAAAAAACCGUAGUUAUUUUGGUUUCAGCUAGCAAAAAUUAGAAAUAUAUUCUCGAGACAUGGAUACACGUGGCAUAAUGUGAUAAGAGAAAAGGGAAUAUAAAUUACCGAUAUGAAAGAUGGAAAAUAACUGUAAUAACAGGCAAAAGAAAGCCAAAAAGCAGAAGGGCAUCUUCACAAUGGCCAUCUUUUUCUCUCCUAUCUUUUUGUACUUUGUUGAUUGGUGUGUCUCUUUAUGUGUCCAAUGUAGGGUUAUAUAGAGAUUCAAGAGACUUGAGAAACUCUCUUUAAUCGUGUAAUAUAUAAUUAAGUAUUUUUAUUUCUUAUAGUCAUAGUGGUUGCCCAUGUUAAUUAUUCUUUUUUGAAAUUAUCAGGGGAUUUCUUAUUCUAGACGAAUAUUAAUAUUGAAGCUUGUAACCACUAGCUAUAUAUCUGAACUCAAUAGUUGUUGAACAUGUGAAUUCAGUGAGACGAGUUUUCCUAUUCUAUCCGAUGAUAAUACAAAAUUAAAUUAGUUCGGCUUUUCACUUCUUUUCACUUUUAAUUAGCCUUCCUCAUACAUGUUUCAUGUUCACAAGAUACAAAAGGAGGAGAUCUGUAAUAUAAAUUACGCUCUAACUUGUAACUAAUUGAUUGGAUUGGAUUCGAAUAAAUAAAAUCAAAAUGUAAAUGCUUGCGAUGAAUAUGUAUAUUACACAUCAACUUCAAGAUGACCGACUCAAUUAACUCCCAAUCAUGCUAAUCUAUAGGUAUUCAAUAUAUAGCAUACAAUAUUAAAUACGGUUUCACUUAUAUGAGUUCAUUCACUAAUAUAUGAGUAAAUUAUUAUUACCCGACUGCUGCAUAAAUUUUAUACCACCGAUUUAGUUUAUAGAUUCUAACAGACUUACUGACAUGUUAUAUUAUUCCAUUUGAAAUAUCGUUACCAGUCUGGAUUCUUUGGCUGACUUAAAAAAAAUAUUUUGCUUCAAUUGUGUAACAAAUGUAGAAGGAUAUUAUAGACUAGUCAUAAAUAUGUAUAUAUGCAUGGCCCAUUGUUAUACAUUUUGGGAAAAUUAUUGAAUAUAUAUUAUAUAAAAUCAUCUGAUGGUAGCCACAAUUUUUUUGUUUAAAUUAUCUGUAACAUGAUUACCGUCUAUAGCGGGUUUGCGUCAUUUCGGACAUGCGCUUGAUGCAAAAUCAAUACGACUGUGGAUGUUAAAAUGGAUAUAUUGACUUCACUAAAUGUUAAUAUCAUCAUCAGCCACUUUAUCCUUCGGCCACUUAGUCACUUGUGAUAUUUUUAACACAACACAUUGGGUGAAUUCGUAUUAUACGCAUUUAAUGUGGCACCAAGAGUUAAUUCAGACCCAUUCAUAGCUAAGCAGUUUAUAAUAGGUUGCCGCUAUUUCAACGUAUCAUUCAUCAAAAUUUGAUGUAUCUAUUUUAGUAGAAAACGAAAGAUGUUUCAUUUUAUUUGGUGUAAUAAAUCUUUAAUGCUCUUGAAUACUGCUUAAUACCGUCAGAACUCAGAACAUUAACUUUAGUUUUAAAUUAUAAUGCAAUUACUAAAACACUGCAAAUUUAUUUCAUUAUACAAUAUACAAAAAAUGAUCAUGUAUACUCUCUCUCUUUUCACAAUGAUAAAUUCCCAUUUUUGUUUUUAAAGAAUUUUAAGGUUUUAAUACAUAUUCCCUCAGUUUCGUAAAGAAUACCACUUUGACAUUUUCACACAAAUUAAAAAAAUGAUUAAAAUACAUUAAAGUUCUUAUUAGUUACACUUAAUAUGAAACAGAAAGAGUAUUUAUUAGUACUUGUUACAAAUUGCAUAUAUCAAAAUAUUUAUUAAUAAUAAAUACAUUUUUAUUUUUAUUAGUUUAAAUUUAUGUAAAAUUGUAAAAAAUUUAUAAUUGAUCACUAAACAUUAAUUAAUAUGUGUAAGAAAUGAAAAUUUAAAAAAAAUGUGAAACAGAAAGACUAUCACAUAAUUUAAUAAAUGUAAAAACUACAAGAAUUUAAGUUAAUAAUAUAUUUACGUCAAUAAUACUUAUGUUUCGGGUUGAUAUCUUAAUUCGUUUUGUAAUAAUAGCACUUUUAAAUCAAUUUGGUUAUAGAUUUUAAAAUAAAUUAUACUCAUACUUGGAAGCAAAUUAAAAAAAGGUUAUAAGAUUGCUUGGUGUAUGAAUAAUUGAAAACCAUUUUUUGUUUUUGACAACAAUUGAAAGCCAUUAAGUUUGACCUUUUUAGGCACUUGCUUAAUCGCACGCGCAUUUGAAAACCACCAAAUAAAAUCAACCCCACUUUCUUAAUAUUAUUGUGACUGAUGACGGCUGUAACAUUCUGGUCUUGACCGUCCAGUCCAUUCACUUGAACACGCACAUAAUGCUUUGUUGCCGAUUCACUUAUUUUCAUUAAAACUCAUCAUAUAAAUGAUUUCCCCUCCUUUUUCCUUUACAUCUAAAAGUCUAUGUAGUUUUUCUAGAUGCUUAUGAGUUACGCAAAACGAUCCUCUCCCACACAAAAAAACAAUAAUAUUAAUAUAUGUUUUAAUGUCCAAGUGUUUGAUUAGUGCUGCAGUUUGUAAAUAUGUAAUAAAACUAAUCAGCUUAAUUUUCUGUUUAAACAAGAAGUUUUGUAUAGAAAGACGACUUGGAUUAUAUUUUUGUAAGAAUUCUGAAUUCCUGUCGUUUCAUUCCAUAACAAUAUGUGUUAAUAUGUUCGUGUAUUAUUGACUUGUUGCUUUAUAGUUAUUUAUUUAUUCCCAAGUCAGAUUAUAUUCGUUCGGAAAAUGAACGUGACUCGUAUAUGAGUUGACCUUAUGAAUAUUGUCUAAGGCCUUAUCCAUUAGAUUAAAAGUUCAUUAUACACUUAUUAUUUGUAUUUAGUUUGAUUAUCUCCAAGGCUACAUUAUGAGCUGUUAGCUAGUAUCCUAAGUUAUGAAUAGCUCCAGAAAGGCCUUAUCCUAAGCUAUAUGAACAUUGUGAGCUAAGCUGAACACUUGCUUAGAUGUAACUUGAUCUUGUAUGUUUUCUCUAAAAGACCAAUAGCCAUCUUGUAUGCUUAGUUGAAUUUGUAUUAGGAUCUCUUAGUUGUAAGAGAUCAUAUGUUCAUCAAAUGGUUCUAUCACUACCAUAAGUUCUCUGUAAGGCCUUGUUGUUCUUCUCGCUCUGCUUUCUGCAGCCUGGUUAGUUUCCACAGGAGGCUUAUGUUCUUUGAUAGCAAAGUGAAAACCGUCCAUCUCUUCAUAGUCAUUUGGUAUAUUUGAACUUGUGAGCCAGUAGGCACAUGAGCUUCUCAGCAAGAAGAAGCAUUCUCUUUUCUUUUUUUUUCUCUACUCACCAAUAACAGAUAUUAACUUCCUUCUAUUUACAACUUAAAAUGUUAUAGUCUAUCACAUAUUUUCCCUUUAAACAAAAGAGAGAGGAAUUAUAUAUGUAUAGUUUAUCUAUCAUAUGGGUUCUUAAAAGCAUCAGGUAAAAGCAGGUGAUUUGCAGAUAGGGCAAGAGUUCUUCAAAGACAGCCAUUUCUUUAUGCACCCUCCAUGGUAGUCAUGACCACACCCUUUAAGUUCCCCCAACUCUUCUCCUUCCUUGUAUUCCUCCUAAAUGUUACCGUUACCACACCACCAUUAGACUCUUGGCACAUUUAAAUCUUUGAGACAUGCGAAUCUUACCAGGCAGAUUGCACAUUUUCUUUCCUCAUCCGUUUGAUACAAUGGGUAGAAUAUCGUCUCCAACAAGCAAGUGGAGAUUGCGCCCUUGGAUAGACCAGUGUUAACACUCCCAAUCCUUUCAACAAGAUCAAGAAGGUCCUGGAUAGUGUCAACCAUUUCAAGAUACAUCAGUUGCGAGACAUUUUGUCUGGGGCUUAGAAAAACCAAGAGUUCUGUAAUUAACCUCGUAGGUCAUGUCAUCGAUGUCGAGCCUCAAUUCUCUGUGGUGAUCAUGCAUAUUCCUGGAUCCAUAGUGCUGUUGGUGAUCUACAGCCAUAAAUCCCUGUUUUUGUACAUCCACAACAAAAUAAUAGAAGAAAGUUCAGUCUGCAGCAGAAUAAGAAACAUGAGAGUCUAUGUAGGCAAGUUUCUGAAGUGUUGGUCCCAUCAGUUUAUUGGCAAGUUUGGUAGGGAAAAAAAUUACUACACCUGAGAUGAAAAUGGUUCAUGGAGAGCAACUUCAUCGAAAGGAGGCUGAAACCUCUCAUAGGAACUCCUGCGUCUCCCUGGGCGAUCACUGCUACGCCAUGAGAUGUGUGGUGGUGGCCUCAGAUGCCUAGAAGGAUAUGUCUCAGUGACAAAAGGAGACCUAUCUCCAGAAGAAGAUGCUGAAUGUUCCAAUCGCAAACCGUUUGAAGAAGAUCUAUAGGUGGGUGUUGACCUAUGAGAGAAGCGGGAGCUAGUUGCAGAUUGUGUUGAAGUUCCAGGAAAACCGUGGGAAACUGUAGAGUUUCUGUUUCCGAUUAGCCCUUGGUGAUACCAAGAGGUAUCAACAGAUGUGCUGUUGGCGACACUUCUCGUGGGAAGAAAAUUAUUUGUCUUUGGACUAAAGCCAUUUAAAUCUGCAGGGUGAGAAUUCAUGUGGUUAAAGAACGUAGUCAGUAAAAAUUUGAAUCUCAAGAGAGACCAAAGUGAAAUUUGCAUACCUCUAGGUACUGGGGAGUGUCUAGGAAAGUUCCAGUUCCAGUCCUUAUUCCUGUGAGAUGUUUGACCAGGAAACUGACCUGAGCUAGAGUGAUCAACAUUGUGAUGUGUAGGAUGAGAAUCAAGGUCCAAGCUUCUUGAAAAAAUAUUUCUAUCUACACUAGUCUCUAAAUCAAGUGUAGGACGACUCCGGACAUUCCUUGAAGAACUCUCUCCCCUGAUCGAGAGAUUAUUACUUCUGUAACUUGGGUUCAUGAGCCACGGCAUGUAAUGAGGACCAUGAUCACGAGUUGUUGAUUUUCCCAUGUCCAACUCCGAGGAGAAAGGGAUAUCUGAGGAAGUUCUGCCACCGUGGUAAUGGCUUGAACUACCCAUUUCAUAGACGGAAGAAUCGCAUGGGGUUUUCCGCUUCUGUGCUCCUCUCACAUUUUCCAUAUGUAGAUCAACAUAGCCAUCCAAUGACCAUGUCUGACUGUUGCAGUACGAAGAAGAUGCAGAUGUCACAUAAUGUUCAAGUGGAGCAGAGAAAGUUGCAGCUGCUGAACUCAUGACAGGAACAUGGGUGGGGCCGCUAGUCCCUGGAUUGUAGUGUAGCCUCUCUACACCAUGACCUGAAGCAGUAUACGCAUUUGGUCCUGUAGAAGAGUUCCAGUGCGAAGAAAAUGGCAUUCCUUCAUUCAACACGUUUCCUGCUGGAUUAACAUGCGAUCUGCUCUCACUGGUCCCAGUUCUUGCUGAGAUAACAUAGAGCGAACAAUAAUACGAAUCAGAAAUUCCGGACACGAUUGCACAGGAAAAAGUAGAAUUAUGUAUGUGAUGAUUAUAAAAUGUGGCUUCCUAAUUUUCACUACCUGAGGGUAUCACCUAUCAAGAUUCAUUUUUGCCCCUACUGAAACCCAAUCUACCCAUGAGGGAGAAACUUCUCAACCUAAAAAUACGCAUGCAACAUCAACGCAAUAGCUCUUACACAGGUUGAGUAUAACAUCUAUCCAUGAAGAACGUGUUAAAAAUAUUGAUUUCAACCACAGAAUAAGGAUCUCUAUAGGAAUGGAGAACUAAUUACCUAAACUCGUAUAUGGGUGCUCUGGGUGUAUAUGGUUCCAGCCUUGAUCCUGUUCAUCAUCGAAAAAUUGGAAAGAGCCAGGAAAAUGUCUGUGCCCCAUGAUUACACAAAUCUUCAACCUUGGAGUCCAGCUAACCCUGCACAGAAAGUUCUCUCAACAUUCAGAACUCAUCCAGAAAAAAAUUUGCAAGUCCAUAAAAAUAGUUCUUAAUUACUAAGCAAUCUCAGUUUCAAUUCAAGAAUGGUAUAUAAAGUAACAUCUGCUUUAGCUCAGAAGUACCAAAUGGUUGCUGAAAACGAGUCACCCAUCUAUUUUCAGUUUUAUAGUCACAUUUCAAGACCAAAACUCCAAUUUUUGCAACUGAAGAACCUUAACCAUCGCCAAGUUAAGAAACAAAGUUUCUUCAACCCCACACAUGAGCAUACUCAAGCUGUAAGAAACGAUUUAGAAUAUGCAUAGAGAACACUACACAGUAUUAGGACGGACAUCAACUUCAGGUAUAAAGGAAACUGACAAUGGUAUAUUGAUAGAGAUUCUUUAUCAGAAGAGAGUCCAUAGUUUCAAUACCUAGUAUCAAUAUAGUUGAAAUAUCUAGUCUCAGUUACCUUUGUCACCCGUAUCUAACAUACUAUACCCUCAGAGCUCAGCUCAUGAUAUCAUAAAAACAAGUUUUCGAAGAGUUGGACUGGAAAGUUCCUGAUGCCUUAAGAUGGGAAUAACCUUAACUAGUACAUAUCUAUCAGCUCAUAAGGGUAUCUUGCAAUCAAGAGUUAAUAAAUAAAACAGAAACCUACAUUUUCUCUUUGUGUAAGCCAAAAGAAAAUAAGAGACACAAAACAAGCAAGAGUGUUCUCUAGUACAUUGGCAUAAGAAGUUCAUUUAAACAAGACAUUUACUCAGGUUUAAGAACUUCAUAAAUUUUACAGAAACAGUCCACCGAGAAUAAGGCAAGAAAGAACAGAUACAGAACAGAUAACAUUUGAUAUGACCAUUUCAGCUUCUAUCAACACAUACAGAACAGAUGCAUACUGCUGGCAUGAUCAAGAAAAUUACAUGGAUGAUUCAACAGCAGGAAAUAAGUUUAAUUUUCUGAGCCAAAACCCUCCAACAAUACUACUGCAGGCAAAUUAAACUCCCAACCAAGAAUACACUAAACUACACAAGUGAAAAAGCCAUCAUCCUUUCCUGAUCAACUGAUUCACCAUUUCCACACACCAAAUGUAAUUUCUUCUCUUCAAGUUCAGAAUCAUAACGGGCUUAGUCCACAGAGUGCUGGCCAGCAAAGGCUUACCACCACAUUCUACUAUUCUGAAGCUUUUACUUAGUCAAAACCUGCCAUCCGGCCCAGCACACCUAGAUCUACUCCAAGAGCUAGUAAGCAGAAAUGGGUUGUGUGAAAGGAUGCUUCUAAGCAAUUUGCUUUAUGCUUCAUAGGAUGGUUGUCAUUUCGCAAGAAAUAUUGAAGUUUUUACCUUAAUUCACACUUCAAGCAUCACUGACUAAUUAACACAUUCAGUUAUGAACGUGGAAUCAAAAGAAGGGUGGUGGAAGAACUGGACCAGACAAACUUCACAAAGCCUUGACUACCAUAAACAUAGUUAUCAGCCAUAAAACGUAAAUGAGUAAAAAACUAACCACGCUAAUAGAGUUUGGUUGACUUAUCUUACUUCAAGUUCACGUUGGUUUCUCAAUCAACCAACAAUCUGCCAAAAUAGAAGGAAAACGGCAGCCACCGAUUCUAUGUAUUACAAAGGCUUAGCAUAAGGCACUAACAUCUGCUGACAAAAGUGUUAGAAUAAUACAUUUUCUCUGCUACAAUUUCAAAUUUUCUAUUAUAUUUUUGAGAAAAAAACCAAAAUAGCACUAAAUCAAGUUUUUGUUCCCAAACUAGCACUCAAGGCCAAAAGUCACAAAAAUAGCACUCAAGAGAUGGGGUUUAGGGUUUAGGGUUUAAAGUUUAAGUUUUAGGGUUUAGAGUUGAGAAGUGAGAUUUUGGAGAUAAGAUUUCAAAUUUUGAAAAAUAAAAAAGUUUAAAUUUUUCAAAAGAUAAAAUGCUAUUUUGGUCAUUUAGUUUUUGAGUGCUAUUUUUGUGAUAUAAACUUAGAAAAGUACUAUUUUGGAGAUUUGCCUUAUAUUUUUUCGAUUUUUUUUUUUUUGAUUAUACAAAGUUUCCCUAAAGGCUUCCUAAGGGACUAAUCUGUGUAGCUGCAACCCGAAUGUGAAAUCCGCAGUGGCCGGGAAUCGAACCCAGGUGGCGGUACUCACAGCUGUGAGCCUCUGUGAGCUAAACGCCCCGGUUUAUUUUUUCGAUAUUACUAAAGAGGAAGACGUAUUUGCUGACCUUAAACUAUAUGGACGUUACUAGUUCAAGACUGAGAGAAACCAUCGUUGCCACUAAACCUGCUGGAUACAAAGCCUAGCUAGUUUGAUGCUAAAUAGGAAACUGCUCAAACUAGCUCUAUAUAGCUUAGCCCCGUCGCUGAAGUAGCCUGAACUAAUCACCGAUCUGGUCUCCUCUUCUUCUCAGCAUCCGAAUCUCUAACUACGAUUCAAACAAUCCAAUCACGAAAAGUCACUCAUGUAGCAGACGGAAGCAAACAAUCAUCACGCAAAAGGAAAACAGAUGAUCCGUCGUAACAGCGUUUAAACAAAUCAUUGGUGAAACUGCAAUCGAUUUGAGCAUAUAUAUACAUAUUUACACGAAAACCUCAGAGCUCAAACGAUGAUCGGAGAAGAGAGAAACGUACCGCUAGCAGCGUGCGGAUGAUGGAGAAAGGAGAACGAUCGGAGGAUUCAAAGAGACGACGAACGGAUUCGUAGAGAUGACUCAGCUUGAGGAUUGUGAUCGGUUGAUAUAUUUAAGAGAGAAAGCAAAUGAAAAAAUGAUAAAACAAAACAAUUUAAUUUAAAAGCGAUUGGGUGGGUACGUUGCUGGAAAAUUUAGACCACCACAGCAUCACCGGCUGAUUAAUGGGCGUAGAUUAAUGGGCCUAUAUUUUGACUUUAUAUGGGCCUCCACUGGAUCAGCAACUAUCCCUUCUUCUUUUUUUGUCACCAGCAACUAUAGCAUUGUUCACAUAGUGCAUUAUGUUGCAUCUGACAGAUUAUGAGCAUAUAAUCCUUGAAUCUGCUUUGUAGAAAGCUCUUAGAAAUUUAAUUUUUCCAUUGUCUUUGCACGUGCUGUGAAAUUUUGUGUUAAUUACGCAUAAAGUUUGAUUCGUUAGAUUUAGUCCAAAGUAAACAAUAUGGAUACAUAGUCCACAAUCCCCCUAAAAUGGUUAUUUCUCAGAUUUUGACAGUCUUAAUUUGAAGACAAUUUGGAAGAUGAAGUUGCAGUGAAACACGCAAGCAUUGCAUUGCUUUUUUCUCUUUCUAAAACCAAUGGAAGUACAAGGAAGUGGAGGUGAAUCAAUAACAAUAAACCGUGUGCAUUGCCGAGAUUAUAUAGUUUGUGAUUAUACCAUUUUAAUACAGAGAAGCUGCAAAUACCAAAUUAAACCAACGCAGGUUUGAGGUUCCUACGUCAAGUUCAACCAUUUCAUUUCUAGUGUAAUUUCUCUAUUCAAAACAACUAUAGAAAGGUCCACUAGACAUGGCAGACGAAACAAUACCCCAAUAACAUUGUGGCAUUACGAAAGUAGCAAAGCAAAGCAUAAGAUAAAAUAAAAGCGGCAUUAUAACAAACCAAAACAGACUUGUUCUUGUUCUUAACCGAAACAUAAAAGCUAAAACCUCAAAAGUGAAAAUAACCGAACAAAACACUUAAUCUCAAAUUCCCUUUUUUUUUUAAAUUAAUUAAUUCUCAGGAAUCUCAACCUCACCCUCUUGAAUCUCCUGCUGGAUAUCCUUGGAAUCUCCUGCUGAAUAUCCUUGGGAUCUUUCCCAUCCACAGUACACCCAACAGACACACACGUCCCAAGAAUCUCCCUCACGGUCCCGCUCAGCUCCUUCGCAAUAGACCUCGGCCUCAUGAUCCUCGCGAUCUCAAUCACGUCAUCGAACGAAAUGUUCCCGUUGUGCUUAAUGUUCUUCACCUUCUUCCUGUCCCUCUCCGGCUCCUUCAAGGCCUUGAUCACCAGCGCCGCCGCCGAAGGCACCACCGUCACUUUCGCCUGGCGAUUCUGCACCGUCAGCUUCACCGUGACGCGGAGCCCCUUCCACUCCUUGGCCGUCUCCUUGGCGAUGUCUUCUCCGAUCUUUUUGGGAGCCAGACCGAGGGGACCGAUCUUGGGAGCGAGGGAACUCGCGGCUCCGACUUCUCCGCCGGUCACGCGGACGUAGACGUCCACGAUCUGGCUCGGGUCAAGCUUCGGCGGCAUGGCUGUCUCGGUGGUUAAACGGAGUUUGAUUAGUUUUUUUUUUAAGUGGAGUCCGGAGACGAGGAGGCGGUUGAAGACGAGCUCCAAAGGCUUUUAUUGAGGUCGACACUAGGGUUUACGAAAUGAUGAAUUUACUACCCUUGUAAACAUAUAUGGGCCUUAAGAGAAUGAUCUUAUGGGCUUUAUUUUAGACUAUCGGUUCUUUUACGGUUUAGUAAAUAAUAAAUCCCCGGUUUGAUAGAACCGGUUUACUUCCGUCGCCUCUUUGCUCGGUGAGAAUUGCCUAAAAUAUUUCCUCAGUUUCGGAAAGAAGUAUAUUUUAGUUACCAAUAUAAUUUUAAUAAAUAAAAUUAUGUUUUUUUACUGUUUACGAUUAAUUUAUGCAUUGAAACCGUAAAAAUGUAUUUUUCUUGAAACGGAAUUUUUUUCUAAAAUAUGGAAUUUUUUGAAACGCAUGGCUUUUAUUAUACUAAAAUAGUGAAAGUGACGUCACUUCGUUUAACCGAUAUGAUCAACAACAGAAGCAUAUAGUUUUGACAAUAUACUGGGAAACAUUUACUUUUUGGAACUUUCUGUUAUCUUAUGUGUGUUAUUUAAUUAGUGGGUGGCUAAGGACCAGAAGUUGAGAAAGAAGGAAGGGAACACAGCAAGCCAGCUGAUGAAUGCCAUUGCUGUGGCGGUCUGGAACCUUGUGCAGUGGCUGCCAUCACAUUUAUCAAGAUCGUUGAUGAGUACGGUUAUGCCAGCAGACGCAGAUGCAGCUGCAAACGUAAGUAGGCAUGUGAUCUGCAAGGGAUGAAAAUAGACAAAACAGUCACUUUGUUGCCUUCUUAGAAACUAACUUUAAACAAUAAAGAGAGAUGUUGAUUUCGUUCUUACUCCAUCUCCAACUGUGAAACAUCGAACAACCAAGUGAUUCCGAAGGCUUCUUCCCACCAGAAGAGCAUAAGCAUCGAUGAUAAAAAGAGACAAGCUCCACAGGCUUUGCAAGCUAACCGCAAAAACCAAACCACUGUCACAGUUUAUAGAUAUGUUUUGUCAGAUUCAUAUUUUUCCGUAAACCUUAGGUCUAAGAGUUGGAUUUUACUAGAAUGCGGUGAAGGAGUGGAAGUCGGGGGUGGUGAGCAUGACGGAGAGGGAGAUGAGAGAGGAGACGAACUGAGAGAGGCGGAGGAUGAGGCCGCCGGUGGUUCCUGGCAUGCCCUGAAUAUCUUUCAUCCUCACUGGCGGUCUAUCGUUGGCUCCGCCAGUAGGACCCACGGGGACAGCAAUUACCGGACGAACCGCCGGUCGGCUCACGUUCAUCAUGUGAAAGUGAGUCACUCUGAUAACACACACACAAAUGAGGAACUAACUCGACUGAGUUUGCUAAACUAAUUUCCUAAAGACAAAGACUUAUUCAACUAACUGAAUCUCUAACACAUGUAGGACUUUCGAACGUUUACCGCAAAAGUUCAAACAGACCCACCUUGUAAGACACGAAACUGCUACUUUGGCUGUCUGAAAAAUGGAAUUAGUGUGGAUUUUUUUUUUGGUCCACGAGUUAAUUAGUUAAUGUGAUGUGUUUUGACAGAAUCGACCCAAAACAUAGUAUUUAAUGUUCCUAACUUUUGAUAUCUAUUGACUUAGAGUAACCGACUUUGAAAGUUAGUAUAAAACAACUGUAGAAACUUUUAAUGUGGCUUACUAGAUUUUUGGUGCUAUUCUAAAGUAUUUAUGUUUUUAUAUUAUUUAUUUCAAAUAUGUUAGACAUAAUAUUAUAACUUAUUAGUACUAUUUUCGACAGUUUAUGUUAUUACUUUUGAAACAGAUUAUAUUUAAAUUAGUAGUAUAUAUUAAGCUAGAAAAACACUCGAAAUUUAUUUGAACACUUAAAAUAAAACUAUAUUUUUUGUUUCUUAUUCUUUUCCUGUGUUUAUUUGUGUUGUAGUAUUGAUAAUUGACUAAAUAAAUACAAACAAGAAAAUGUGAAACUUUUGUUGGUUACAGAACAGAGUUGAUGAUCUUACAGAGAAUUAAAGACAUUUAGUUUGGGGUUAAAAAGACAGUUCUAAUCAUUUACAACAAAGAACUUCCACCGAACUGGAAAUUGUUUUUACUUUACCCCAACUAAUCGGGAUCUAUUCCUUCCAUUUUUAGUAAGAUUAAUAAAAUCGUGAAAAUCUGACAUUUUCAUAUCUAUAUAUAAAAUCUUUAAAUAGUUAUCUAGAUAUAUUUAAAGUUAUCUAGAUUUUUUUUUUUUGAAAAAGUUAUCUAGAUAUAUUAGAUCUUGAUAAUAAUCAUUCUCCAGCCCUUUCCAUCUCCCAGCAGAGCUUAGACGCAACACUUUCAUGGGAAGGUGCAUAUUCCUGCAAAAUGACAACAACAACGUUUGAGAUUAUGUAGAGACCCAGAAACAAUUCAUUUUCUUCAAUUUACCUCAAGCUUCUUCACAAGCUCUUUAGCAGUAGGUUCAGAGACUAUGAUCUCACGAGCAGUCGGGCUGAUGAAUCCUUCUUCAACGGCUUUAUCGAUGAAUGAAAGCAGCGAGUUGUAGUAUCCAUCAACGUUGAGUAAACCCACCUGCAGAAAGUUUGUUUUAGUGAUUUUGGAUUCUUGAAUUUUUCCAUUUGAAGUAAGAAUAUUAGGGAGGUUUUUUUUUACAGGCUUGUCAUGAAUUCCAAGCUGAGCCCAAGUUAUGACCUCAAGCAAUUCUUCAAGUGUUCCAUAGCCUCCUACAAUUAUCGCACAAAAUUUUAGAUUUGAUUUGUCAAAAGAGAGCAGGUUAAUCUGUUACUAUGAUAUGGUCAAAUCAGUAGGUGUGUCAUGUACAAUACAAAACCAAAUAAUAGAGUCCUCUCCUCUCUGUUACUGUUUUGUACAUUGGUACUGACUAUGAUUACAAAAGCAGGAUCUUGACUUUCCAUUAAUGAUUUCAGAUUAAGUGUGGGCCAAAAAAUGCCAUUUGUGGGACUGUUUCAAGUUUUGUCUCUUAACUUGAAAAGGGCAAAGAAAAAAAGUUUGGUCAGAGUAAGACUACACAAGCUAUAGAGAGAGUACCCCCUAAGUUAAAAACAAAGCAGAGCAAUAACCAGAGUAAAAGAAAAGGAAAAAGGUAUAAUUCUAAGUGCCAGAUGUUGAUGGUUAAGGCCUUUUAUCUUACACUCUGGUGACUUUAAAUAUUUAGAUUUUUUUCAUUUCAAAGAAUAAUUAAAAAUAAAAAACUUUUCACAGCAGCUUUCACACUGCAGCUUGACCAAAACAUAAUGUUUUUUUUUGUGUAACUAAGAAAUCAUGUUUUUACCAAACUCUUUUCUUCUCUUUUUUUACAAAAUCAGUCCAGAAAAACAAACUUUUUCCUUUACAUGAACAAACCCUACUUUGAAACUUUGAUUACCCAUUCAAAUUGUUUUAAGAGGCUAUUCUUAAAAUUCUUUGCGUCACUAGGGUUUUGACAAGUUUUCGUAUGUUAUCAUUACUUACAUUGAAAGAACAGCAAAAUUUUGAGGUUUAGAAAUGUUUUUUGAGAAAGAAAACAUUUGAUUGAAAAUUUGGGUGGAUUGGGUUUAAAACAAAACCUGGUAAGGCAAUAAAAGCAUCAGAGUGCUUGGCCAUUUCAGCUUUCCUUUGGUGCAUAUCUGCAACUGCUCUUACUUCUCCUACUGUUUCACCAGUCAACUGCAAAAAACAAUGAUCAUCCACCAUUUUAAAAUAAAUAAAAGGAUGUUAAUUAAAAGUAGUUAAAGGGCAAAAGCAACUUUGGGCUCUUCUACAGGCAAACGCAAUGAUGUCACCGCAAGUAGUCGUAAUGUUUGGAUGUUUUUGAAAUCUCCUACAGAACCCUAACAUCUAGUUAACCUCUUUCUAAUCAUUUUCUUCAUAUAUCUUUUAUUCAGAUUACGGUAACCAAAUGAGGAUAUUUAUAUUUUAGGACACCUAAACUACUCGCAAUCAUGAGAUUUAAGAAAAGGUAACAAACAGGGAGAAGAGUAAAACCUAAGCAAACACCGAAGAUUAAAAUGGUUUUGAAUGGGAAUUUGGAGAACUUAAAAGAGAAAUUAAAUUAACAAAGAACAAUGUUUUAUUUUGAAAUUUUCUUCUUUGAAAAGUUCAUACCUCUCUAGGCAUGAGGGUCUUUGGAAUUAUUCUGCAGAGUGACAACAAAAGGACAAAGUUGGGUUUUAUUAGAAAUAUUCAGCAAUAUAAUCCAACACUUGUGUUCCAUCAGAAUCUCAAAAGACAGUUUUCUUUUGUAUGAUCUGAAGCUUACAAAGUUGUCAAAUAGUUUAAAGUUAUUUGACUAAGAAAAAGUUACCCAAUAACAUGACGACCACCAUUAUGAACAGCUUGUGAAACCAAACCCAUCAAGCCUAUGCUCCCACCUCCAUAGACUAGAUCAAUUUUCCUUGAGACCUGCAGAACAAAAAAAAAAACAGAGUUACACUUUUUUUUUUUUUUUUGUCACAAAAACAGAGUUACACAUUAGCCUAAACUUGAUGAUAAGUAGAGCAAAAAUCGUGUAACAAACCAGAACCAGAAUAUUCUGAAGUUAUACCAUCUGGCACGUUUCAAAGAAGAAAUAAAUGAAGCAAAGAUGCACAUCAUCUUAUCUCAAAACCAACCAGCAUAAUCAAAGACAUAAAUACGUUAAAAGUCAUGUAUGUGUUACCAGUUCGUUGCCGAGAUCUACAGCAGCAUCUUGGUAACUACUCUUCUUGCCUUGGCUGCUUCCACAGAAGACACAUAUUCUUUUGAACUUUGACUUUUGCAUCGUUUCAGCUUUGAUCUCCAUUGAAUAUGAUCCUAAACUUAUGAUAAAAUAUAAAACUUCUCCAGAAAGAGAAAAGGUAAACAAUUUUAAGGUUUCUUUCAGCACAAGAAUCUAAUUUCGCAAGACAGUUAUGAGUGACAAAGAAACCUAACUAAAUCUGAAAAAAUAAUUUAUUUUGGGAGUUGUUUUUAUCCUCACCACUAAUGUUUCCUGGCUCAAGGGUUGUUGUUAUAUAUAUAGUGCGUCAUCGAUUUAAGCUUACUUAUUUUAAAUUACAUUCUUUUUGAUGUUUACUAAAGCUAGCAGCCUAGCACAACAUUUAAUAAUACAAAUUUAGAAAAAAAAAUAGAAGGCUUUCGUUAAAAAGUUUAUUUUUUUGUUUGUUUGAAUACUUCAUUUCUGUUUUAUUCCCCAUAAAAAAAAUAUUUUUGACCAAAAUCUUAUAAAUCGUUGAUUUGAAUAUUUAAUAAAAAUCGAUAUUUUUUAGAUUUAUGUUGAGGUCUUUACACGGGAGAAAUUAAAGCACGCGUCUUUCACUACCCGCGCGGCACGCGUGACCGAAUUCUUCUUUGUGUUAAUUUUCCCUUACUAUAAAAUCACGUACAACAAUGAUAGACUAGUACCAUAAACCUUAUUUAUGGUCGUAAAUAACAAUUUUUUUUGUUACUUGAGAGGAAUUUGGAUCAAACCGUAAUCUCCGCUUAAACCUGAAACCAUGUGUCCAUGCAUUGAUAAUAGUUUAUGACAUGGCGUAGAACAUUUCUUUCCAUAUAAAUGACAAUUCUUCGUAAUGGACUUUAUGGUUAGACUCACAAUCACCCAACUAGAUAGAAAUGCCAUGUUAAUGCAGGCUAUAUCUCACAAGGAAUUAUUAUCAGUUGUGUUCUUUGUUGUUAAAGAUCAUAUAUAUCGUGUUUAGACUUCAUAACCCCCUCUUAUGAUUUCGUAAAGAAAGCUCUCAGUGAUUAAAAAAAAACUGAUUCAGUAAAGCUUCGUCAUUUUUCGUUCUUAAUCAAGAAUAGGAAAAAUAAUUAAUUUUCUAUAUAAAAAUAAGAAAAAUGGACAGCAUAUGUGGACAGUGUAAGAUGGGUACAAACGUUAUUAACUGAUACUCUUGAAAAACAAAUAGAGAAAGGGAAAAUAAAUAACCAAAAAUAACCAAGACAAAGGCCACACUAAUAUUCUAAUGGAACCAUGUAGAUGUCAUGGAUAAACCAAUGAGAUAUAUACACACUCACUUAUCUAAAGAGAUAUAUAGAAUGAAUAAGUUAAUGAGAUGAUGAUGUCUGGGAUAUGGAGCAAUGUGCCAUUGAUGAUUGACAUAAGAAAACAAAGUGAUGGCUUAUGUUACCAGUGUAGCCUAAUUCACCCUCCCUAUGUAGACAACCUUCUUCUUGUUCUUUGCAUAGAAAACGUUUCUUCUAUUUUUAUUCCCCUAUAUUCAUUUUCACCAUCCUAAGCUAUAGUAUGGAGUUGUGAUAUAAAAUUCUUUUAAUUUUUUUAGACUAUUAUUUUUGUCUUUCUCUUUCAGAAUAAAGUAAUCAUUAAAUCAUCGUUGAAUUAUUUAAAGUUAUGAAUUCAGAAACAUAUGCAAAUUAUCGCCUUGUGAAAGAAUGAAAAAUAAAAUUUCUUGUUACACUUCCCAUUUCAGGAGAACCUUUUAUAUAAUCUUGAUUUAUUGAAAAAUCAAAAAUUUAAAACCGAAAGCUGAGAGCUAAAACUAAUAAGAAAAAAAAAACACUAGUUUCGUUAAGACUCUAUCGUAACCCUAUUGACAUGUUGGCUUGGAAUACCAGGAACCUCCCCAACACUCUUAUACUUAACUGUAAGCAAACACUUACAAUAUACUUCAGAUCAUAUAUAUUUGUUUAUAACAUGUGUAUAUAGCGUAUGAGUAUUUAAAUAAGAAAAUAAAAUAAUUACAAUCCCAAGAUCUGAGUAGAUGCAACCCAUUCCUUCUAUAAACAAAUAAGUAAGUUUGUAAAAUAGUUUGUAUUAGUAUAUCUGCAUGCUUGCAUGCGCAUUUUUCUCUUGUUUUUCUUUUUCAUCUCUAGUUUCACUUCACAUUCUUCUUGGGUUUUUCACUUCCGACCCAAUUUUUAUUUUAUUAUAAUAACCAUGACGAUGGUAGUGAUACCACAAUUUAAUCAGAUAAUACUUUCAUGCAGUCCAAUUUGAAAGUGUUAAAUAUUUGAAAAUGAGCACAAGAGGUUUUAUAACUCGAAUCUUUUUAUAGUCUGUACAGAAAAAAAAAACAAAAAGACAAUUUUAAAGGUGGACGUUUGAAGAACAAAUUAUCCUUUUUACAAAAGGUUAAUAUCUGUCUCCAAUCGAUUUUGACAUGAUUUCAAAGACAUAUAGUGACAUAGCAUUAACGAACAUCUAACGGAAUCCUAAAUCACUUUAACUAAAAGAAGUUCAUAAAGAAAGAAAAAGUAUUAAGUUAGUCAUACAACUAGUUCAUUCUGUUCAUAAAGGGGUUCUAAGUAUUUAUAAAUAUCAAUUUUUCUUGGAGUGGUUCUCAACCUUUUCAAACAGGUCAACAUUUUUUACUUCCUUUUAUAAAAGGUUUUUGUUAAAUUAAGAAAAGUUCUUUCGAAAGAUGAAACUUGAAUCCUUUAUAUAUUUACUUAUCAGUUAAAGAAGUUCAUUCAUAUUAGACCCAAUACAAUUUUGUUCAUAAAGGGGUUCUAAUUAAGUAUUUAUAAUUAUCAAUUUCUAUGCAGACAUAGGAAAGGCUCCGCGCUUUCUAAUAAAUAUAUAUAUGGGUUAUUAUAUAUCCAUGCCUGACAAAAAGAAAAUGCUUAAUUUGAUUUAAUUUAAGAUUAAGGAGAUGAAGAUGAAAAAAUUAUUAACCCAUAUUAUUUUUUCAUUUAAGCUCUGGCUGUAAAAAAGCUGAACAACUUUUACCAUAUUAUUUUUUUCCGAAGUAUAUUAAAAAGAAGACAAUAUAUUUAUUCACUGUUUUAGGUUUUGUUCCAAGCUAUCACCACUAUUUUGUCAGUAGUACCAUAGAUUCAUGAUUAAAAAUGACUCAAAACCUUUCUUAAUAAAUAAAUUUUAAACCUUAAAUGAAAAACUUAAGCCAAACAUAGUAUCUCAAUAUUGUCUAUAAUUUCUUAAAAUAAAGGAUAAUAUCCUCACACAGUUUUUUGUAGUAGUGUUAAAAAGAACAGUAAUAGUAUAUUCGGAAUAAAAACCUUUUAAAUAUAGCAUCUACGGUAUUUUUUUAGCUUUUAUGAACUAUUUUAAUGAUUUAUUCUUGUUUUUGUUGUUGGUAAACAAAUAUUUUGAGAUGAUUUGUGUAUUGGAUGCAAACGGCAUAUUUAAAUUAAGGAAAUGCUAAUUGGGAGGCAGGAUAAAAUUCUUAUUAAUGUCCAUCGAAUUUUUUUUAUUAAAAAUGUUUGAAUAUGUAAUGUGCAUUGGAGUUAACUAUGACAUAUUCUUAUUACGGGUUGGUUUUGUCGUUGAAACAAACAAGAACGUUAUAUUAAGUUCAAAAAACAAACAAGAUGUUAUGGAGUCACACAACACUAUUUCGUACAGAAAUGAUACCUCUAGUUUUUAAAUGUAAUUUUUUUCCUACAAUUUUGACAUCUUUUAAAAGGAUAGUCCACGUAUGAGACUAUGUUAUGAUUGCAUGGGUAAAUACUUUAAUGUACAAGACGUGAAACUUAAUGCAAAACUAUCAAUAAAGGUCGAUAUGAUUCUUUAAACCAAAAAAAGUUCGAUAUGAUUCCGACAAUAUUUUAGAUUUAUGACUUUGAAACCCAAAAGGAACAGACAUUUACCACUUUGAACCGAAAAUAGAACCCCCAAACUUGUUUUUUUCCUCAACGGACCAACGUUAAAUCCACAAAUUAAGGAAUUGAAGAAAAGAGGAGACAAAAAAACAAGAAAGGAAAAGGGAAGAACAUGGAUUUGUAAAUGGUGAAAAGAGGGACAGUCAAAGGUCAGAGAGGGACAAAUCAUUUGUUUAGUAGUUAUCAUAAAGUGUCGGACAGUUAAUACCGUUACUUACGAGUCAAAUGUCUCUAUUACGUUUUCACUUAUCACUAGUUAGUGGUAACUUACUUAAAUUACUUUUUCAAAAAAAAAAAAACUUACUUAAAUUACCCUCCCAUCAAUCGAUUUAUAUUUUCAAAAUUUCUGUAUUGUGAAAAAGCCAUGCAUUGUUGACGCAAUUUUUUGUUGUUGUUACUUGUCAACUAUUGAUACGUACUACUAACCAUGUUAUGUAUACAAUGCAUCUUUACAUAAACCUCUUUCAGUAGACUAAAUUCACAUUCAAAUCUUUUGAGUUAAACAUGUUUAAAUUGGAAAAUAUUGAGAAAUAAUAACAAUAAAUAUUUAUUGCCCUUUUCAAAAAUAAAAAUAAAGAUUUAUGGUUUUUAGUAAUUACUUGAACUAAAUUUGUUAAAACUUACAUAUACUUACUACUUAGGCAGAUAAAUGACAACUUUUAAAACAGUUAAAGGACAACUUUACGUAUACAGCAUGUAUGUAAGGAGUUUAUGAAGACAAAAGGAGGAAAGAAUCUAACUUAUAGCAAGAAGAGUGGUGAACGUAAGAUGGAGAGAGUGAACAGUCAAAAUACAUUCAUUCAUUCCUUUGUUUUUUUUUCUCUUUUAGAAAUUAAAAUUUAUGUCGUUUGUUUUUGGGACAUUACCUACGUUCAUUUCAACUCUUUCAACCUUUCGGUCAUCUCUAUACGAAUAUACCCCCAUUUGUUUUACAUUUUUAUUUUCUUUUAAAAUUUAUGAAGUUACAUUGGCGCCUACAAUUCAAAAGAUUUAGUUUGACUGGUUUACACCAUGUGAAUCCCAUAGGAUAAAUUAUAAAUAAUUCAUAUGGUUUCUGACGUAUGCGUUAUACAUACCUAUAUUGCAUGUUAAAUAAUGCCCUUUUCUGAGAUGGUGAAUAGAUAGAUAUGUCGAAUUUUUAGUAUAUGAAGUUGAAAUUAUAAGAAAUAUCCUAAAAGUAUUUGCAUCGACAUUCAUUUGCUAAGGAAAAAGGUUAAAAAUGUCUUCAAAAAAGGGUAAUGGACGUUUAAUAUAGGAUUAAGUAGCAAAGGAGCAAACAUGGAACAUGUUCAUCUCCUAUGAAUGAGGUGAAUAAGUCAAAAAAAGAAGAAGAAUAAGUCAAAGUAGGUCUAGUUGCUGGACCGGUUCUAAGGACAACCGGAUAAAAAUCCAUCUUAAUCCCAAUUUUUUUUAAAACUAAGAACUAUUAUACGUAGACCACAUGGUCCAUAUACUAUCCAUAACUUUUUAGUAAGAUAAACCUGAUAAUGUUUGCCAAAGCUCCUUUAGAUUAAUGUUUGACAAAGUGGUCACUAAUGGUUAUACAUCAUGAAGUCUAAGUUCUGAAUCUUAUAGAAGGCAAAAUUGUGCUGGAGAUUUUUUUUAUAAAAGAUGGAGCAAAAAAUACCAUAAAACGUAGAUCUUAUAAGUCGGUUCAAAGUGAUGCAGUAAAAUGUAAAUUCUUAUAAAAAAUAGAAUCAUCAAUUAUAUAAUCGUUAUAAUAUUUUCAUGGUUUGCAAUAGCAUAGCUAUUCAACGUUAAGAAAAACCAAAUAAUGUUUUUUGGCCAUAAAUUUUCGAUCCGGCUUUGUUGCGCUGUCCACGUACAAAACUAUGGCAUAUAUAAUUCACGAGGUUUGAAAUAGUGUUCCUUUUAUUUGUUUAGUUAGUUCUCAAUAUUUUUCUUUCAAAUGAAUGACAAGAGAAAUCGUAUGAGACGAAUAUGAGAGAUAGGUUAAGAAUCAGGAUGUUUUCGUUCACAGUAUAUAUAAGAAAUUAUUAUAAGAGAUUGUAGCUUAUGGAACAACAUUAAGGGUAUGACUGGUUUCCUCGCUGCCACACGCAUGCGGUUGGUAGCGGUUAUUGGCGUUUUGCAACAAUCACUCAAACCGCUCUAAAUCGUUUCAAACCUCAUAAACUCAAAACUGGCUUCAGCUAGCGUUUGCGGUUACGGGAGGAUAAUUUUUUUCAAAACAAUAUAAACAUAAAAAUAAAAAAUUCAAUAAAAAUUUUAAAUUGGAAUUAUAAAAAUACUAAAAUAUAUCUAUUUUAUAUUUUAAUUAAUAUUAUAAAAUUUAACUUUUAAAAUAUAAUUUUUAUAUUUAUUAUAAUAUUAUAAUUUUUUAUAUUUUUAUAAUUAUAUAAAAUAUAAAUAUUGUUAAUUUAUUAUUUAACUGUUGUUGCAUCUGAUAGUUAAUCAGUCAUAAGUAUCCUGCAAAUGCACCAAUUUCUAACUAUAGAACCAGUCGUACAAAUCUCUUAAAACCGCUAGAACUGUAACCAUCCGCAUCAGCAAACUCCUGCGACCGCAACCGCAACCGAUACAUUUAAACAAGUCAGGCCCUAAGACGAUAACGUUUGUGGGCAGCAUCAUUAGCAAAGAGAACUACGUCUAUUAGCAUUAGAAACAAGUGAUGCUCUUCAUCAUCAUCAUCAUCAUAAACUACUUCCAAAGUGUUAUUACACGUAUGUGGUAUGCCGUAUAUAUAUGCAUAUACAGUUCUUUAUAGUAACCUACAUAUAUAUGUAGGUGUAGCCAUCGCAAUAUCUAGGUGUAUUGUAUAUUAGGGUAUAACAACGAACUUAGUAGAGUAGUAUGAAAUUACCUUAAACUUGGUUUAGUUUGGUUGAAACGCGUAAUUAAUAUCUUAGUAUGAAACUAAGAGUAUACACUUUAAGCAAAUAACUAGAUUUUGAUCCGCGCUUUUAAAGCGCGGAUUUAUUUUUUUAUUUUUUAAUUGACAAAUAUUUAGUAAAUGUCGUAUUUUUAUAUAUUUGUCUUUUAUUUUUAUGAAUGCUUAAAUUAUAUUAAGAAAAUAAAAAAAUAAUAAUUAAGAAUAGUUGAAAAAAAAUUAUUUUAACUUGGACUCAAUGGUCCAAAUGAAAAAAAAAAAGUGAGAAUUGAAUCUGAUUUUUUAAUAGGUCCAAAUGGCCCAAGAGAGAUUUGAUUUGGGCUGGAUCCAAAAAUAAUGAUCCAAUAUAGAUUUGUUAUUAAUAUUACUUAAUUGCCCUUAAUGAAACAUGCAAUGUUAGUGAAGAAAACAUACCCCUAAGGUAAUUAUGACAAUAGGAUCCUGCUUUAAUAAUAUAGAUUGAUUUCUCUUGAACCAACUUGCACUCAAUUUGCUCAUUCAACUGCGUAUUGUAUUUGAUUCAAAUAGAUUGCUGUGAUUUUGGUGUUUUACGUGGUUAUCAAAUGUGUUCAUACUCAUAAGCGCAGAAGAUCAGAAAGCAAUAAACAAGACAGAGAAGAUUGAAUCAAAAUAAAGCGAAGCAGUUAAUGACAGCAUUCAGACAGACAAGAACAUGGUCUUCCUUACAAAUCUUAACUCUAUAUGUUUUUCAAACAAAAGACCAUCCGUGCAUCCAAGGCACAACAACACAUAGCUUAGUACGGUCCACCGAAACUGCCAUCCUCUCACAAAAACUGCUUCAAAGCGCCUGUUACAAUUUCCUUUACUCAGAUAAAUCAGUCUAUGAAGUGGUUAAUGCCCAAAAGACCCAUCUAUAAGAACAAUAGUAUAAGUCAUACCUCUCCAGAGAAUAGGAAGCCAUAGAUUGGUGCUCAAAACUGGCGCCUUGGAGGCCUAGCCUCAGCUUCAGACACUCUAAUCUGCCUCCCGUCCAAAUCCUACAACAGGGUACAAAGUAUAAGCACAUCAAGAAUAGUUUCAUUGAUCAAACUGUCGGAAUAAAAAAGAUACUUACAGCACCAUCCAAUGUUCUGAUGGCAUUCUGAACCUCUUGAGCAGAGUUGUAAGUCACAAACCCAAAACCUUUCGACCUACCACUGUCCCUGUCGUAGAUGACUCUAGCCUCAACAACCUUCCCUUGCUCCCCGAACAAACUCUCGAGCGCCAUGUCGUCAACACCCCACGAGAGGUUACCAACAUAAACACGGUUCCCUGAACCAGCACCACCACCACCACCUCCACCAUAUCCUCCACCAGAGCUUCCAAAGCUGCUUCUAGGUCCUCUUGAGAAGGAGUCUUCCCUCUUCGGUGGAGGAGGACCCGCGUUAACUCUCAACGGUCUACCAUCCAACUCCUGCAAACAAAACCCAAUAAGAACAACAAAACAACACAAAGGUUCCAACUUUUUGUCUUUAGCAACCACAAGUUUUUGUCUUUAGCAACACAAAGGUUCCGACAUAAGGUAGAGAAGUAAGUAUGUUCUUACAUAGCCAUUGAACAACACAAAGGUUCCAACUUUUUGUCUUUAAACGCAUACUUACAUAGCCAUUGAACUGCUGUUCAGCUGUCUCAACUUCAGAAGCUGAAGACAUAGUCACAAACCCAAAACCUCUGCUUC